AUCACUGUAGCAUGUAUUCAUUACCGCUUAAAUAUGGUAGAAAACAUGUAAAUAUAACAACCACAGCCUUCAUCAAGUUGAUUCCGGGUAGCACCAUUAGCCCCCCACCUGAAAAAAGUCAAAUAUUGAUAAGCGAAGGAAACGAAAGCCUCAUUUUAACUAUGGGAUUAAGUUUGGGUUCCGUUGCAAGUUUGUGUUUUGUGAUUGCAAUAUGUAGCUUCUUGUUAUACAGGCAUCGAGUCCAAAGUUAUGAGAAGCUUUUAGACAGUAAAAGUUCAGGAUUUGCCGAGCAAUUUACACUACGAUCAUUCACUUUCAAUGAGCUAGAUGAAGCAACACAAGGUUUCCAAGAUGAGUUGGGUAGAGGCUCAUUUGGAGCGGUUUAUAAAGGAACUUUGCCAGGGGAUGGUAAAAGUAUUGCUGUUAAGAGAUUAGGAAUGGUUAAGGAAGGAGAAAGGGAUCAGUUUCGAACUGAGAUGACAGCCAUUGGAAGAAAUAACCACAGGAACUUGGUCUGAUUGCUUGGAUUUUGUGUGGAAGGUUCAAGGAAGUUCCUUGUUUAUGAGUACAUGAGCAAUGGCUCACUAGCGGAUUUUCUAUUCAACAGGAAUGAACGCCCGGUUUGGAAACAGAGAGCCAGAAUAGCGUUGGACGUGGCUAAAGGUAUCCUUUAUUUACAUGAAGAGUGUGAGGUGAGUAUCAUCCAUUGCAACAUCAAGCCCUGCAACAUACUCUUGGAUGAUUCAUUGACUGCAAAGAUUUCGGAUUUCGGAUUGGCAAAGCUAUUGAGGCCUAAUCAAAGAAGCAGUACAAGUGGAGCAGCAUGGUACUCGGCACCUGAAUGGCAAAACAGUGCAGUGUUAUCGGUAAAAGUUGAUGUAUACAGUUUCGGAGUGAUACUGUUGGAGAUCAUAUGUUGCAGAAGCAACAUAGAAGUAGAAGGUCGCAGUGCAGAUGAGAUACUGCUUUCAACAUUUGUAUACAAUUGCUUUGUUGGGGGAGAGUUGAAUAAGCUCGUGGAAGGUGAAGAAGAAGUGGACAUGAAAAUGGUGGAAAGGUUUGUGAAGGUGGGGCUUUGGUGCAUUCAAGAUGAUCCAAAUUUGCGUCCACUCGUGAAGAAUGUGAUCUUGAUGCUAGAAGGAACAAUGAAUGUACCGAUCCCUCCAUUUCCAUCACUUCCCCAUGUUACUAAUUAGUGUUCUUAACUUUGAAGUUGGGUUUAUUUUAAUUAUGUUUUUCAUGUAAUUAAUAAUAAUUAGAGGAGUAAUUUUUAAAAUAAAAUUUUGGAAACUAUCUGGUUGUUACAAAGAAGGACAUUUUAUGUUCUAUGCAUCAAUUAUCAUGUGAUAAGUGAAAGGUCUCUAAUCUAUACAUCAAUUAUAAUAGUAAAAGUAUACAUGGUUUUUUCCUUUGUUUUCACUUAUGUGUUGUGUUGAAAAAUUAAAUGUUAACAUCUUAAAUACUUACAAAAUCAAUUUGGUAUGUUUGUUAAAUUUAAGUAUAUGAUUAAAUUGUUUGAUAAAGGAUAGCUUUCUAAUAAUUUUAGAGCUCUAAACAAAAUCUUUAAAAAAAUAUCUUUCGGUCUCACUUCCCUAGAUAUUCCUUUAGGGGCAUUACUUCCUAACUUUUUAGGCCUACUCAAUUUAGUUCAAUUUAAUACAAUUUAGUCCUUUUUUCCAAAAAUUAGCUUACCUACAUUUCCAUCAACCAAAUCCUUUUUUAGGUUUAGCUAUUUAUGCUGCAAAUAAAGAGAAUGGACAUGGAAAUGAAAAGCAAACAAAACAUUGAAGUUUAAGAAAAAAAUAUGAAAGUUUGGAUUUUUUUUAUGCAAGAAAACUUAAAGAACAUAAAACUAAAGGCAUUCAACAAGGAAAUCUAAAGCAAUAAACAGAAAAGGAAUAAACUUUAACAAAUUUAAAGUAAAAGAAACUAAAAUGCAUUAAACUAAAGUUAGAAAUGUCUUACAACCAAGGUAUAGGGAUUGGAAGUGCAAAUAAACUUAAGCUAUAGUAAUAACUAACUAACUUAACUACCACUAAGAACAACUAAGAACAACUAAAAUAAGAAAGAAAAUUGUUGGGAAAUGUAAAAUCUACUACUAAAGAAAUGAAAAUAAAAAAAACCCUAGAAAAAGAAGAAGAAAAGCUAAGAGAAAACCUAGAGAAAACUAAGGUAAAACUAAACUAAUGUGUGUCUCCUCUCCUCAGCCAAAUUUGGUUAUUUUAGGCUGAAUGCUAAUAGUACUUCGUUGCCAAAAUUGCCCUUACGUGGGCCUUGGAUGAUUGGUGGAUCGGGUAGAAAUAGACUACUCUUUUUAUCUAAUUUUGUCCCCCUCACAAUGUUGGUGUCACGAUACCUAGAAGAGGAUAUCUCGAUUCCUCAAGUAGUUUCGAACCUUGGGGUCUUCUUUGAGGGUGGAUAUCGUGAUACCACUGAAAAGUGGUCUCCCUUCUUUCCAUACUGUUGGAGGUAUUGUGAUUUCAAGGUAUGAAAAUAGCGAUACAUUUUCUUUUGGUGUCAUUUUCGCUCGUUUUCAACCUCAGCACGUUCUUACACCACUCAACCAAAUGUUAGGUCCCCCAAUAGUACUAUUGGCCAAAUUUGAUCAUAAAAUGAGUAAAAAUAAGGCAUUUACACUUAUCAACUUAAAAUAUAAAAAGUAAGAAAAAGUAUGAAAAAAAAUGCUAUUUUGCUUGAGAAUAAGGUCCUUAAGUAUAUUGGUAAAGUCUAAUUUGUCAUAUCAAAUUAUGGUAGAUAAAACUCCCCCACAUAUAACUCUUUGCUUGUACUUAAGCAAACCAAACAUGCAAAAGGAAAGACGACUGUUGGACUAAAUCAGACAAUUAAGUCAUAUAUCUAUAAAACAUCAAACUCGUACGGGAACUGCCUCAUAUGCAACUUAAGAGUGAUAUCUAGAUAACUUGUUUAUUCUUAAUACAAACAUAAUUAGUUCACUAAGUUAUAAUGUUAAUAGAUGUAGAGGCAAUGAAAAUUAAAAAAUGUACAAGUGUUAUCCAUCAAAAUAAAUUAUGCGAAUUGCUCAUAGAUAUUUUAAAAAAAUGGAUCAUAUUCGUUCAAACAAAUGUAGACUAUUUACGAAUUAUUGUAUUGGUGACAUAGAUUAUGUUAAGUAAUGCUUUUUAGAAGUACUUUUGAUAUGAAAAAUACUUUUGCAGCAAAAAGAACAAGAUAUUUUUUGCUGAAAUUUUUGGCUUUUCAAAAGUACUUUGAAAAAAAAAAAGAGAAACUAAAAUUUUUAGCUUUUCUUAUUCCAAAAACAUUUUUAGUGCUUAAUUAUUUUUUCACUUCUCCAAUAAUAUGGUACUUUCUCUCUUUUUUUCUCUGGUGCUUAAUUACAAAAAUGUUAAAAUCAUUAAUUAAAAAUAAAAAUAUAUUUUUAAAAUAAUACAAAUGUGUUAAUAUCUAAUUACAAAUAUUUAAUGGUUAUAUUUAAAUAUUUAAAAUAUAAUUUAUAUAUUCUACUAAAAUUUUAUAAAUAAAUAAUAUUUAUUGUUUAAAAUAUUUAAAAUUUAUAUUUCAUAUAUUAAAAUAUUAAUAAUAAGUUAUAAUAGUUUUUUAUUCUUACUAGAAUAUAAUAAUAUUAACUAAUUUGAACAUUACUUAAAUGCAUAUUUGUUACUUUAUAAUAUUAUGUCUAAAAUAAAUAUUUUAUUUCUCGAAAGUAUUUUUUCAUAACACUUUUUAAAAGUAUUUUUCAAAAUUAUAGCAACUAACCCUAAUUCGGAUCCCAAAGAUCUUCUAAGUUUGUAAUGUUACAAGGCUUAGGACAGUUCAAAAUUCAAAUGGGUUCAAACACUAGAAACGGUUGAGCACAUGACAUUGUUCCCUACUUGCUUCAAAUUCAUUUACAAGCUCACCUCCUUAUUUCUCAUUCUCUUGCCUACCAUAUUUUUCCAAAAUGUUAGAAGGUAUUAUGGCACAAAAUUUAUAAUUGUGAACCUAAAGAUAUUCAUUUUUGAGCUUAAUUUUGAUUUAGCUAUCAUUUUCUUUAUUUUGCACUUUUUCAUUCACCCUUUCUUUUUUAACAUACUAAUUUGCGUAAUCCCUUCAUUUUCUUUUUAUAAAUACAUAUAUCAGAAUUUAUAAACACAAAAUUCUAAGGCGAUAGUACAAUUUCUAAGGAUCUUUAGAAAUUUUGGUAUUUUGUAAUUGAGUCAUUCUAAUUUUUUUUUUCAUAUUAAAAACUUUUUAAAAUUAAAUUGCCAUGAUUAUGUUUAUUAACUAAAAUGAUAUAUAUUUUUUGGAUCCAAAUUGACAUUUUCUAACAAAAAUUAUUAGUGGUAGAAGAAGUGGCAAGAUCAGUUUCAACUAGUUCACGCAUGAAAAUAAAACCUCGGAAAAAGCUUGGGAAACCUACAUUAAUUUUAUCACCAUUUUUCCUUAGAAAUGUUGACAGUCCAUAAAGUUGUCUGUAUGUAUCAAAAUAUAAAAGAAUGUUAUUAGAAAUGUCGGUAUUUGAUUAUACAUUUUAGUACAGGAUUUAGGAAUGAGAUUUUGGUAUAUAAAAAAACCUAAUUAUUUUUCAUGAAAAUAUUGAUAUUCCGUUAGAAAUUUUGAUAUAUAACAAGAUAUAACAAGAUAUGUUUUUAGAAAUUUUAAUAUUUCGGCCGGUUGAGUCAUUAUUCGAUUGACAUACACAAUGUUAUUAAUAUAGGGUUCGAGUGUAUUUAAACGCAUUAUCCUCCUAUUUAUGGUUAGAGAGAGGCUAUGGAUAGUUCAAGCUCACCCUAUUAAGAAUAUUAAUAAGAAAUAAAUAUUAUUAAAUUAUCUUUAUUUAUUUUAAUAGUAUUAUAAAUUUAAUAUAUUUUAUUUAAAUAUUUCAAUUAAUUAACUAAUUUAAUUUUUUUAUUAUAUUAAAUAAAUAACUUAAAAUAAAAUUUAAAUGUAAAAACUAAAAAAUUAAUCAUAAUUAAUUUAAAUGAUUUCAAUAUAAUAUAAAUAAAAUUAAAAUAAUUAAAAUCUAACUAUUAAAAUAAAGGAAAUAACUUAUAUUAGGAUGAUCCUAAAAACUAAGGUUUUUAGGCACCAAUAAAAUUUUGCCACAACAUCACAAUGUAAAGAAAUUAAAUUAUUAUUAUGCUCUCAUCUAUAGAGAAAUUAUCUUAUUAAUCCUUUCCACCACAUUAUUCAUGGUCCCUUUCAACAAUUUUUUUCACGUCACUAACACAUAAUUUUGAUAAUUUUUUAAACACAUAAUUUUGAUAAUUUUUUUACUCUGAACUUAACUCUAGAAUAUUGAACCCUGAACCCUGAACCCUAAACUUGAACCUAUAACCUCAAAUUUUUAAACUCUAAACACAAACCCAAAAUCAUUAAACCUUGAACUCAUAUCAUAAACCUCGAAUAUUUAAACCAUCAACCUAAACUUUGAAUCCUGAAUUCAAAAUUGAACCUCAAACUUUAAAUUUUGAACCCAAACCCUGAAUCUCAAGGUUCAAAAUUUAAGAUUGAAGGAAAAAUAAUUAACAAAAUUAUGUGUCAAUGACAUGAGAAAAUUGCACAAAAAUUACUUCUUUUUUUAAAAUUUGGUUGCAUAAAAAAAAGAAUUUAUGAAAAAGAGAUUAAAAUUUUCAAAAAAAGAUGAUUGUUUAUAAUUAAAAAAUUAAUUAUUUUAAAUAAUUUAAUUUAAUUUAAUUUAAUUUGAAGAAAGUAUUAGAUAUACAAAUAUAUAUAAUAAUAUUUUAUUAUCUUUAAAAUUUAAUGAGGUAAUGUUAUUUUAUUAAUAUUUUAAAAUUAUACUUUUUAGUAUUAUCUAAAAGAAAAAGAGAGAAGUAAACUAAAAAAGGAAAUGCGGUGUUUGCAACUAGGGGUGUUCAUUCGGUUAACCGACCGGUUAACCGACCCGAAAUUACUAUAACCGAAUUAACCGACCUUCCAAAAAUUUUAACCGUUAACCGAACCGAUUUUUUUAAAAAAAAAUUAACCGAACCGAAAUUUUUUUGGGUUAAUAAGGUCGGUUAACCGAAUUAACCGAAAAUUAUGUAUUUUUUAUUUUUGGUUAAAAAUUACCCGAAUUACCCGAAUUAACCGAAUUAACCGAAUUAACGCAAAAUACCCGAAUUACCCGAAUUUUUUUAUUUUUUAUUUUUAAAAUUUAAAAAAUUUAUAAAUUAUUAAAGUAAAUUGGGUUUUAGACUUUAGUAAAUUGGGUUGUCUUUUAGUUUUAGUUUUAUUGGAUUGGGUAAUCGGGUAAACUUUAGUUUUAGUUUUAUUGGGUUGGGUAAUUGAGUUUUGGCUGGGUUGGAUAAUUUUAUUUAUUAAUUUUUUCAGUUAACCGAAAAUUUUUGAUUAACCGACCGGUUUCGAACCGAAUUAACCGUUAACCGAAAAAUCAUAAAAAAAUUAACCGACCCCCGACCGAAAAAAUUCGGUUAACCGACCGAUUAACCAAAUUCGGUCGGUUAACCGAAUUUUUUCGGUUUUACCCGAAUUAUGCACACCCCUAUUCGCAACUACAUCCUCCCUCCCAUUGAAAAGGAAAAAUUAUUAGAUGGAGCCUGGGAGUUCUCACCGCCUAAAUUAUAAGUCUAAUCAAUUGAAGUAAUACACAUUUUUUUUUAAAUUUUUAAUUUUUUUCUCUUAAAAAUUUUAAAUUCAAUUAAAAGUAUUAAAAGUCAAAGAGAAAAAUCUAACUUAGAGAUAAAAUAACGUGUAAUUAUAGAAUUGGAAAUCUUGCUUUAUGUCUACGAUGAUAUUAGACGUAUAGUUUAAGUGGAGAGAAGGAUUUAUGUAAUAAUUUAGUCAGGUUACCUGUCUUUUUCUGCGCAAACCCUGAUUCCAGACCUCGGCCAUUUUUAAUUUGGGUACUUGUAAAAUAAUUUCUUCAUCGGUUCCAAAAAUAGAAGACAGAAAUAAAUACAAUAAUUCCUAUGGCAGCAGUGUGGUCUCUUCUCAUGCUCCUGUCUUCUUUCUUUGUGGCUAGAGGAGUUGAAGACAAGCAUUCAAACGGCACCAUUGGGCUGGGAUAUUCGCUUUCCCCCUUAACUCCACCCACCUCAUUGGCUUCGCCUUCUGGUAGUUUCGCAUUUGGUUUUUACAGUCAAGGCAAUGGCUUUUCAAUUGGAGUUUGGCUGGAGGGCAAUAGAAAGACAGAUAACAAAGUUGUAUGGACAGCAAACCGUGAUGACCCGCCGCUCCAUGCAACUGCUACUCUGACACUAAACGAGAAAGGUUUGCUUCUUUCGAGCGGUGUGAGCGGAGAAAAUAAAGUUAUUUUUUAUCCAAAUGACUCGGCUGUCAGUGUCUUCUCUGCCUCCAUGCUAGAUUCAGGCAAUUUUGUGCUCUACAGCACAGUCAAUCAUACCAUUUGGGAGAGUUUCGAGCAUCCUACAGAUACCCUUUUAGGUGGUCAGGCUACUACUCAGUCGUUGAUCUCCUGUUCUUCAGAAAAUGAUCACUCAUCCGGAAGGUUUCUUCUAGGUAUGCAACCAGAUGGGAAUCUAGUUCUAUACCCUCUAGACGUCAAUUUUGCUGUUACAACUGCCUAUUGGGCCACAAAUACUGAUGGUGUGAAUCGUUCACUCCGAUUAUUUCUUAACUCGACAGGCUUCCUACAACUUAUCAACAACACUGAUUCCUCCAUCUACCUAGAAAUUAAUUCUAGAUUUGUUACAGAGGUGAGCUACAACGAGAACACCACCACCACCAGCAACGACGGUAUCGUUCACAGUGCAAGCCUUGAUGUUGAUGGAAAUUUCCGGUUAUAUACUCAUCAAUUUGAUCCAAGUGGUGGAUUUCGAACUUCCCGAGUGUCGCGUGCGUUGAAGGAUUCCUGUGAAAUUAUAGGCUUUUGUGGUAUCAAUAGCUAUUGCACGUUUAAUGAUGACAGAGCUUACUGUGCAUGCCUUCCCGGCACUGAUUUUAUCGAUCCUCAACGCAAUACCCUCGGCUGCAAGAGAAAUUAUAGUGAAGCACAUUGUAAAGGAGGGAAGGACAAUAUACCCCUUUAUAACAUCACUCAAUUGCAAAAUAUAGAAUGGACUACAGGUAUAUUUUACAGUGAAGAGGUAAUGUCCAUGAGUGCCUGCAGCCAAACAUGCUUGGAAGACUGUAAUUGUGAGGCAGCAAAGUUUAGCGAUGGAGUUUGCAGGAAACAAAAGCUUCCACUAUGGCAUUUGCGACGACGACAAGGUGUGAGUUCCACGGUUUUCUUAAAGAUGGGAAUCAGAAGCCUAGAAGCAGAUGAUGGUACUGUUUCCCAUGAAUUAAAGCCCCAAAUCAAACGGAAAGAUCCGACGCUGAAAAUUCUUCUUUUAACUUUCAGUCUUGUCGCAUGUUCAUGUGCUUUGCUUGCAAUCUCUGGUGUAUUCAUUUUUAAAUUUCGAGUUCUAAGAUACAAAAGGCUGUUGGAAAUUGGAAAUUUGGGCCUAACCGGAGAGCUUACGUUGACGUCGUUUUCAUACAAUGAACUCAAGAGAGCAACGAAUGGGUUUAAAGUAGAGUUGGGUAAGGGAUCCUUUGGAGCAGUCUACAAAGGGUCCUUAAACAGAGGAAGAAAUUUGAUUGCAGUAAAGCGAUUGGAGAAGUUAGUGGAAGAAGGAGAAAGAGAGUUCCAAGCAGAAAUGCGAGCAAUUGGCAGAGCUCACCACAAGAAUUUAGUUCGACUUUUGGGAUACUGUGCUGAGGACUCCAAGAGGGUGUUGGUGUACGAGUACAUGGGCAAUGGCUCCCUUGCUGAUCUACUUUUCAAGUCAAGACAGCGCCCUGAUUGGGAUGAAAGAACAAGAAUAGCCCUGGAUGUAGCUAGAGGAAUCCUCUAUUUACAUGAGGAGUGUGAGACCCCAAUCAUUCACUGUGACAUAAAGCCGCAAAACAUAUUGAUGGAUGAUUAUUGGAGAGCUAAAAUUUCAGACUUCGGGCUGGCAAAACUGUUGAUGGGGGAUCAUACAAGGACCUUCACAGUAGUGAGGGGAACUAGAGGAUAGAUGGCCCCAGAAUGGCAUAAGAAUGUUCCAAUCUCAGCGAAGGCUGACGUUUACAGUUACGGAAUUGUGCUAUUGGAAACUGUGUUUUGCAGACGAAACUUGGACACCACUGUAUCAAACCCAGAGGAGAUCAUUCUGUCGAUUUUGGUGUAUAAAUGUCUGGUUGAAAAAAAGUUGGAUAAGCUUGUGCUUGGUGAAGAAGUAGAUAAGAAAAGCUUGGAAAGAAUGGUGAUGGUGGCACUUUGGUGUAUCCAAGAUGAACCUGCACUUCGUCCUUCCAUCAAGACUGUAGUGAUGAUGCUGGAAGGCAUUACUGAUAUAUGCAUUCCCCCAUGUCCAACUGCUUCCUCCAUAUAAUUCAAGUCUUCCUCCAUAUAAUUCAAGUCUUCGUCCAUAUAAUUCAAGUCACGACCUAACAAUCAAUCAUCUCACUCCGAGUGUUCGUGUAGUUUAUGUUACGUAAGGACUGCGUCAUGUUUGUAUUUCCUCUGGCUUGUAAUAAAUUUGUAAAAUGCUUCCUGCAGCAGUGUUCUCCCAUCAUUUGUAGGUUUAAAAAUUGUGUUCGAGUUAUUUAAUCAUAUAGUUGUAUGUAAUAACUGAGUUUUACUGUAAUUCCUAAUUAAUAAUCUCCGAUUGCUCAAAAUGGUAAAAAACUUGCAAAAGGGUCAUGUAAGCAAAGCCAUCAUGUGUAUGCUAAGACUAAUAAGUCCUUUUGUCUUGGACUUGUUAUGAUCUCAUUAGACAGGAUGUUAGGAAACUGAAUAAUCAUUUUUAAGCAGAGAGAUUGUGCAUUAGAAUAACAGCAUCCAAGAGCAAAACCAGAACUCAGAGGCUGUGACUGUUGAACAUGUUCCGGCAAAGGUACAUGAGAAUUAUCAACUUAGGUGAUAUUGGUAUAUUUGCACAUAUGUGCAGCGCUAUGGUUUGAAAGACGACGACGACGACAACUACUACUACCUGCCAUACAGCUGAAGCCAUCUUCCUCUUUUUGCGAUCAUAUGAGUAUAUAUACAAUACAAGUUUGCGGUUAAGGCCCAGAAACAAUACCAACAAUGUCCAUCCAUGGCAGCCCAUCUAUAUAACUAAUAAGGAACUAAUGACCUAGAAAAAUGGUUAAAUUUCAAUUUAAUCCCUCUACUAUGCUUAAAUUUGAGAUUGAAUCUCCAUACUUUGGUCCUUUUAUUUUUGUAAUGUUAUUAAUAAGUCCAAAUAACUAAUAUAAUUAACUUUUAAAUUAAGAUGUUAUGUGUUUAUAUAUAAUUUAAAUUUCCCAAGGGUCUCAAAGACGAACAUAUGUAUUUCCAUUUCUUUUGGAUUUGUCUUCUUUCUUUUUUUGACAUUAUAAGACAAUGAUCAAACUUCAAUUUUAGCUCCUAUAGUAUGUUGAAACUUGAUAUUUGAUUUACACACUUUAAUUUUUGACAUAAUUUGGUCAUUCUAUUUUUAUAAUGUCAUUAGUUAGUCUAAAUACUUAAUAUUGUUAACUUAACGAUAUUAAGUAUUUUAAUCAGAAUGCUUACAUCAAUUUUUCUUAAGAACACCAUGCCAACAAAAAAAGUAUUAUUUUAUAAUGAUGAGUUCAAAUAGGUGUUUUUAAGAAAAAAAUUCACAUAAACAUUUUCAAUGUUAAUUUUUAUUGUUAUACGACUACCAACUGUUUUUUUUUUAAUUUCGAAAUGUCAAGCCAAUGAAUUUAAUAUAAGAAUUUUAAUUGUGGUACAACUUGACCUAAAAGCUUAAACCCGAAAAGUAUAGGGACAAAAUUUUUGAAAAUAAAAGUAGAGGGACUAGAUUUUAUAUGUAUGAAGUGUAUAAAACCUUAGAGUAUAUUUUAACUUUCAAGGUUUUACUCCAUUUUUUUGGUCGAAACCACAAUAUUUACCAUUGGUAGCCGUAACUAAUCUCCCUCACCGCAAGUGCUCUCUAAAAAAAAUAAACAGUUGGUGAUGAAAUGUGAUUCAUUCACAUUAAUUAUGCAUUUUUUUUUACUCCAUUCGAGUAUAAAAUUAAAAGGUAAACUACACAAACUAUAAUCAACUAUAAAAAAAAAUCAUUUUAGACACAAAAAAUAAAAUGUAUGUAAUUUAGUCACUCGUAUUUUAAUCACUCCCAUUAAAAUGGAAGAUGGAUGUCCACGUGGAGCUUUUUUAAAAUUUUUAUUAAUAUUUAAUAAUUUCCGACUAAUAAAUUAUUUCGACGUCUGAAAUUCUUUUAGCCUAAACCUAAGCUAAUAGUGAAACUAAGGAAAAAUUUCCUUCAUUCUAGUGCUAGAAAAAAAAUUGCAGUCACCCUUUCCCUUUCUCGCCCAAUCUCAGCCUCAACCACCUCCCUCUCUAGUUUCUCAUGCUCUGCUUUGGCUUCCUUGAUGUGCCUCAUCCCGGCUUGCCACCCCAAGCUUUUUAUAGUGGAGGUCAGUUUGGGGGUGGCUCUUUACCUCUGGGGCUUGGUUUUAAAAGUUUUUAAAUAGUAAAUGUAAAAUUGUAUUUUAGUCUUUUUAAAAAUGAUAAAAUUUUGAUUUAAUCUUUUAAAAAUUAUAAAAAUAUAAACUAAUUAAUGGUGAAAUUAUUUUUUUACUAUCAUAAAAAUUACAAUUUAAUUUUAACCCCUUAAUUUUUUUUCUAAAUUUGACCCUGUUAUAUAGAUUACCUAAAACCUAAAUUAAAUGAUAGGUUAAUUUCAAAAUAUUGUUUAUUGUUAAUACAAAAGGGUUAGGAGGAAAGGUAACAUAAAUCAUUCUCCACCUUUGCACUAUAUAUUAUACAUGCUUUCUUUAUCAUCAUAAUUUGACAGAUAUAAUACAAAGCAAGUCAAGUCUUGUGAAAUAUUGAUAGAAUAAAGCAGGCUUUGUGGGAGACUUAUUUGGUUAUGGUUUAACUUAACAUAUGCUUUUGGCUUGGAGUGAAAUAAUAUAAGAUUGAACACUGAUAUUUUAUUUUCUUGUGGAUGAUAUUAUUAACCAUAUGGCGUGGACGGUAGGCUAGGGAAUUUUUUACUCUUUAUGUCAUCCAUAUUUACCAUUGAUAACCACAAUAAUUUAUUUUUCAAUAUAAACAUGACUUAUAAAAUUUCAAAUAGUUUAUGAGACAUAGGCAAAGUGUUUGGAAGAAGUGACUAAAUGAGUGGAUAUUUUUUCAAGCUCUGGGAUAACAGAAAUAUAAUAGGAGAUAACAAAAAGUUUGCUUACGCAGCUCACGGAGUCUAAUUCAGUGAGAAGUAUCCACUAUCUUCAAACACUUACAGCAAGUGACCCUAAAUCUAUGAGACCCAAGUGACAAUUUCCUCACUUUUGUGCCUUUAAAGACUAGAACCCUUGCCACUAAAUUCACCCCUGUGAACUAAGCAUGUAAAACCACAACCCAAAGGUUUUACAAUCAAAUGCACUCUUACAAAUAAUGUUCCUCACUUGAAUAGAUUAAGUGCUCUCAAUUCUCGAACAUAAUCCUAUACAAGUCUCUCUAUUAUAUAGAGUUGUUCGAGACUUGCUAACAUAGAGAAGAUCUAUAACAAUCUCUAUAAAACAAUCACUAUAUAAGUUGAAUAAAAUAUAAUAAUAGCAAACAAGAUAAACAAGAAUUAUUGGUAAACAAGGACGGUUGGUAGAUAAGUUGAAUAAAAUAUAAUAAAUAAAAUAUAAGUCUUUAAUGUUACAAACCAAUCCAACUUCCUUAUCUAAGGGAUUAGAUAAGUGUGAUUCGAAUCGAUUCGAUCCAACCCUCUUUAUACAUUUCUUUAAGUGAUAUGAUCUUCAUUAGUGGGCUAGAUACGAUCCACAAUCUCAAUAUAACCAAAAUAUCUAGCUCAAUAAAUUGCCAACAACUCAAAUAUGGAAAUAGCCUAAUCUGUCGUAGUUGGUCAAAGAGUGGGCACUCCCUCAGACACUUAUUUAGUCUUUCUGUAUUUUCAACAAUCUCCUCAUUUGGAAAUUUUUUGAACAAAACACAAACAAAGUAGGAAGCUUAAACAUAAAUUAACAACUUGCUCCCUUUUAUUAUAUUUCCUUUUAAUCCAACAAUAAUGAAUCAUGAAAAAUAUAUGCAACCAAAGUAAUCAUCAUUUAUUGACCAAAUGAAAUCCAACUAUUAGAAGUAGCAAAAUUAAGAAACAAACCUCCAAAAACCAUAAGUUUCAAAAAGCAACAGUAACAUCAAUGAAUUUGAAGCAAAAUAUGAAUCUCCCCUAUCACCAGUAGCUUCCCCUUAUUCUCUUUUCCCCCCUUUUUGAUCAACAAGAUUGCCAACUUAUUUUUCAUUAGGAAGGGAUAUUAGAUUAGCACAAAGAAGCUUUUGCCUAUCUAUGAUCUUCUUCAUAGUCUUAGCUUCAAUAAGGAGUCUGGUAAUGUGCCUAUCAUUGGCUUCAAUAAAGGAUGUAAGAUCCUCAAUCAUCAUUUUAUGAAUGUCAUAGGGAAUAACCUUGGGGCCUGGAGAAGUUGGCACUUAUUGGGUCUAAGGUGCUUCUUCUUGCUCAACAUCAUCAUAUCAAAAUUACUUCCCCUCAACAGCAACAUUACCUCUCCCCCUUAGUAGGACCCAUCAUAUUUAGACAAUAACAAUUCAGGGCCUUCCUUAUCAUUGAAGUGCUAACUUUAUACUAUUCUCCACAUAAAAAUACCUUUUAAUGAAACUUACUAUAUUUGUUACUUAAUACUUUGCAGCAAAUUAACAUAAAACUUCAUAACAACAUUACAGACACACAACUUGACACAACUCAUUGACCUUAACAAACCACUUUUUCCAAUAAGUACAUCUAUGCCAUGACCAACAAACCCUCUAAAAAUAUGAUAAUAGGUUGGAUUAAAUGACUUGGUAUCAAAGUAUAAUUGGUAAACUGUGUAAUAUAUAUGUUUACGUAAUACUAAAGGCUAGAAAUGAGUAUAUGUAACUCGUAACUUUGCUGAAAUGACAUAAUUGAGAUAUUGGUUUGCUUGUUUAGGUGUUGCAAAAUGGUACCUUUUAGAUCUUUUGGAAACAAAAAAUUACGUGGUGACGAGGAAUCAACAAUAAGUUGCAUCAUGACCUGGAAGCCCCAAUCGUGACAUCAACUCGAUAGUUUGCAAACUUUUCAUUUUGGUCCUAAUUCGACCUCAAGUUAGCAUAUGAGCUUUCAUAAGCUUGUAUAAGACUCGAAUAUUAUUGAAAAACAUAUUGUGAAAGCGUGAUGUAGUUAGUAGCAUGUGAAAAAAGUUAACUUGGGUCGGUGUUGCUCUGACAACGAAAGUUGCAUAUAAAGGAGUGCUCCUAGAGGCUGUGCCUUGGAGUUUUAGCCAAACCAUAAAUUAUUUGAGAUUUUCAGUCAAAAUUGUAAAUAAGAUUGUUAAGUAGAAAUUUUAAAAGAUGUAUGUAUUAGUAUCAAUUGUUGUGCUUAGUUAAUCUGUUGGAAAGUGAAUUUUAAAUAAUGUUAGUCAGUUAUCUAGAAUUUCUAUCAUCCAGAACCUGGACUCAGUGAGCGGAUCAGGAAUUAGGUGUGUAAUGGCCCAUUUUCAGUGAAAUCAGAAUAGUGGUUUCGGGACCACAAAUCCAGAGUCAAAAGUUUUACUUAAUAUUUUUUAUGUGGUAUAAAACAUGUUAGAAGUAUGGUAUAAAAUUUCGUUAAGAAAUUUUACCGUUUGUUUGCUAAAUUUGUGAAAAAGGACUAAAUCGCAUAAAGUGCGAAAGUUGUGUUCUAUUAGCUAAAGGUAUUAAAUAGAUAUAGAAUGUUAAAUUACAGGUCCUUAUUGAGUAAUUAGACCAUUAAAGAAGGUAGUGGAUGUACAUGGGGUGAAAUCAUAAAUAGUCAAAGUUGGUAAGGGGUUAGUAAAUUGUUGACUAAUGUUAAAGUAAAUAAAAGAAAAACAAAAUGGCCAUCUUCUUCUUUCUUUUUCAACCAAAAAUACCAUCAAACUAAGAGCUUGGAAAGCUUGAAUUUUUCAGCCGCAAAGUCCCUUGCAUGUAAGUGAAAUUGGUGUUUGUUUUUGUUUAUUGUUAUUUUUGUGGAACCCUUGUAGCUUAAGCUAGCUAAAUAGGGACAAAUUUGCAAAAUGGUUGAAACGCUAGGGUUUUUCCAAGAAAGCAUGAUAGUUUUUUUAAAAUUUUAAUGGAAUAAAAUGAAAAUUUGGGUGUUAAACACUUUUUGUUAAGUGAUUUUUGACAUAAAAUUCAAUUAGGGGUUAAUUUGUGAAGUAUGAAGAUUUUGAGUUAUAUGUGUGAAAUUAGGGCUUAUGUGGGCUUCUAUGAGCACCUAGAUAAUUCAGUUAAGCUUUGAUGUGGAUGAAAUUGCAUAAAUUUCGUUUUACGAGCCUAGGGACUAAUUUGUAAAAAAGUUAAAAGUAUAGGGGUAAAAUGGUAAUUUUUCCCUAAUAUGAAACUGGAUUGAAUUGAAUAGAAUAAGCAUUGAAUUAGUUAAAUUUGAUUAUAUAGAUCAAGAAAAGCAACAUUUAGACAUAAAUCGAGGCAAAGAUAAAGUGGUAGAUUGAUCGAUCGAUUUAAUCCGUACAAUUACGAGGUAAGUUCGUACAAUUAAACAUUUAAUGUUUAUUUAUUUAAUUGAUGAAUGAUAUUAUGCACUUGUACAUAUCUAUUGUUGAACUUUGAAAUGGAAUUAAAUGUUCAAACAAGUAAAUCGCAGGAUUGAGUAUAAAUGUUUUAUGCAAAUGAGGAUUUUACGGAUAAGACCAUGGUUGGACCAUGGCAACAUUAGUAUGUAAGACCAUAGCCGGGCUAUGGCAUUCUGAUGAUAAGACUAUAACUGGGUUAUGGCACUACGAAUGUAAGACCAUGGUAGGGUCAUGGCAUUUCGCGUAAAAGACCAUAGUUGGACUAUGGCACAAGGAAAACAAUGUACUCAUAUCCGUAAGCCGAUCUCAGAUUCAGAAUGAUGAGGUAAAUGCAUUCAUCGAUAUUUAAAUAAUCCAAUGAGCUCAGUAAUAAUACGAGUUGAGUCGAGUUAAAGUAAAUCAGUGUAGGUAUUCGCAAGAAUUACAAAAAAUAAUUCAUAGUGGAGGUAGCUAUACAACAUUAACCUAAUUACGAUUAUGUGAUAAGCUUUGAGUCGAAUUGUAAAUUUCCUGUGUAUUAAUUUUGAUAAGUUAAAUUGUGGAUGCUUUGGAAGGUUUUUUUAAUAUUCAUACGAACUUAUUAAGCUUAAUUACUUACUCGAUUUAUGUUUCAGUGUUUUAUAGUGAAUUGGAAGCUCACUCGAUUCGGAAGUCGUCGGAGAUCGCGUCACACUAUCAAACUCUCAUUUUGGUAUUUUAAACUUUGUAUAUUUUGGGUUAAAUGGAACGUAUAAGUGUUUUGGUUAAGGUAGCCUAUAUGUUGGUUGUAUAAUUAGCUAAGUGAGUUGGCUUGAGAAUGAUAUAUGUUUUGAUAUGUAAGUAUGUAUAUAUAUGGCCUUUUGAUAUGUUAUGUAUAGUGGCUUUGUGAAUGCCUUGUUGUGGAUUGGUAUCUUGUGUAACAAAUGGUUGGAAUUGAGAUGAGCAUGUAUGCUAAGUUAGGCAUAAGGUUUAAAACAUGUAAUUGGCCAUUUAGUUAUACUUUACAAUUAUCUUUGGUAUGUUUAAAAGUGGUCAAAUGAAUGUGCUUGUGGAGAUCAUGUUGUAUGUGUGGUUUGUGUAUGGUAUAAACUUGAUAUUGGUUUGCUUAAAGUGCCUAUUUAUGCCAUGGUUGUAUGUACAUUAUUGAGUUUAGGUUGGCACCACUUUGGGUGAGGAAUAUGGCUUGGAAAAUAGCCUAUUUUUGUCCACACGGGCAGAGACACGGGCAUGUGUCUCGGCCGUGUGUCCCCUGAUACUAUUCAAAAAUCAAAGUUAAUGGCUUCACACGGUCUAGCACACUAGCGUGUGGGUUAGCCGUGUGGCACAAGUCAGUAUACCCUCCAAUUUUAGCACAGCCGAGCACAUGACCUGAAUAUGGGCGUGUAUGGCCAUUUCAUGAGGCACACGGCUUGACACACGGGAGUGUGGUUUGGCCGUGUGAGCCAAGUCAAAGAGUUGUACGGGGUCGGACAUGGGUUGGGACAUGGCCAUGUGAUCCCAUUUCGAAUGCGCAUACGGCCUGAGACACAGGUGUGUCUCUUGGCCAUGUGAGAGUCACGGUUGGGGUACACAGACGUAUGACCUCUGUACUUUGAAAAUUUUCAAUAUUUUUUCAAAACUUUCCUGGGUUAUCAGUUUAGUCCCGAAUCACUUCUAAUGCUUAUUUUGGGCCUCUAGGGCUCGUGUUAGGGACUAUAUGAUUGUAUUUGAAUGGUUUUUGUUUGGAUUGAGAAUUAAACACAAAAUGUAUGAUGGUUUGAGUUAUAAGUCCAGUAAUACUCUGUAACACUGUUUUGGCAUCGUAUACGGGUUAAGGGUGUUACAUUUAUUGGUAUCAAAGCUACGGUUUAGUUGAUUCUAGGACUAACGCAGUGUGUGUGAGUCUAGCUAUACAUGCCAUUUAUUAACCUUUGAUAUUGUGACAUCUCUUAACAGUUUAAAAUCGUGUUUUCUAAUAGUAAUGGAUCUAAAUUGAGCAAAUUUCGAUGAUGUUAAAAAUAACGCGCCAGCCACAGUUUGGGGGGUAACAUUAUUUGACUAUUUACAUGCGUCUGGGAGUCAUGGAGGAGAAGCUAAGGAAACCUUCUUCCAAAUGAUGAGCGAAUGGUACACCAAGUUUGUACGGACGAACUUGGCUAUUCAACAACCGCCACCUAUUCCCUAACAGGUUCCCGUAGCUCCUCAAGGUUUGGAACCUUUACGUAUGAGUAGACCACAUGUUGAUAAAAUUUGAAAGUACGGGGCUGAAGAGUUUAGAGCUAUAGUUGAUGAUGAUCUCGAGAGCCGAGUUUUGGCUUAAGAAUACAAUUCGAGUUUUUGAUGAUCUGUCUUGUACACCGGCAAAAUAUCUUAAAUGUGCUGUAUCAAUUCUGAGAGAUACUGCCUAUCAGUGGUGGAACACCUUGAUAUCGGUAGUACCGAGAGAAUGAGUCACGUGAGAAUUCUUUCAAGCUGAGUUUAGGAAGAAAUACAUAAGUCAAUGGUUUCUAAAUCAAAAGCAUAAAGAGUUUCUAGAAUUGAAACAAGGCCGUUUGACUGUGACAAAGUACGAAAGAGAAUUUGUAAGAUUAAGUAUGUAUGCUCGGAAGUGUGUUUCUAUUGAAGAAAUCAUGUGUAAGCGAUUCGUAGAUAGUUUGAAUGAAGACAUUAAGCUUUUAGUCAAAAUUCCAGAAUUGAAAGAGUUUGUUGUCUUGGUCGAUAGAGCUUGCAAAGCUGAAGAGCUUGGUAAAGAAAAGAAAAUAGUCGAUUCUGAGGCUAAAGAUUCAAGAAAGACGGGAAAAUCUUAUCACUCAUUGUCAAAGAAAUCAAAGGAUUUCCACAAUCGUUCAACCGCUUUAGUGGGAUAUUCUAACCUAGACCGUGGUAAACAAUACGUAGGUUCAAAAAAUGAAGCCACUUCAAUAACAAGCGUUGGUAGUGUUAAAGCCAAUAGACAAGAAUGUCAGCGAUGUGGAAGACGACAUUUUAAAGAAUGUCAAUUGAUUGACAGAGCCUGUUUUAGAUGUGGCUCGCUUGAGCAUUUCAUUCGUGACUGCCCUGAAUUAUCUGAGAAAGACAAACUUCAGACCGCUCGACCGAGCAAUACAUUUGCUAGAGGGCGACCACCCCAAAAUACUGAAAUAUGAGUGGUAGUUGAGGUACAACGAGAGACUCUACUGUAAGAUCUGAGGCAUGAGCACCAACUAAAGCUUAUGCCAUUCGCGUUCGAGAGGAUGCAUCGGCACCAGAUGUUAUCACUGGUACAUUUUCUCUUUGUAACACUGAUGUAAUUGCUUUGAUUGAUCCGGGAUCAACUCAUUCUUAUGUAUGUACAAAGUUAGUGUCUAGUAAGAGUUUACAUGUCGAGUCCACUGAAUUUAUGGUUAAAGUAUCGAACCCCUUAUGUCAGUAUGUAUUAAUUGAUAAAGUCUGCAAGAAUUGUCCUUUGAUGACUCGGGGUUACACUUUUUCGGCCGAUUUGAUGAUUUUACCGUUUGACGAGUUUGAUGCGAUAUUCGGUAUGGAUUGGCUGACAAUGCAUGAUACGAUUGUGAAUUGUAGAUGAAAGACCAUUAUAUUAAAAUGUUAGAACGGUGAUACUCUUCGUAUCGAAUCCGAUAAUUUUAAUAGUUUGCCUAUUGUGAUAUUGGCUAUGCUAGUAUAGAAAUAUGUGAGGAAGUGUUGUGAUGCUUACCUUGCGUACGUGCUCGAUAGAAAAGUGCCUGAAUCGAAGAUUGAAUCAGUACCAGUGGUUCCAGAUGUGUUUCCGGAAGAGUUACCUAGGUUACCACUGAUCAGAGAGGUCGAGUUCACUAUUGAGUUAGUACCGGGAACAUCACCAAUAUCGAUAGCUCCGUCCAGAAUGGCUUUGACCGACUUGAAAAAAUUGAAAGCUCAGUUGCAGGAGUUAACAGAUAGAGGUUUUGCACGAUCGAGUUUUUCGCCUUGGGGUGCACUGGUAUUAUUUGUAAGAAAGAAAAAUGGAUCAAUGAGAUUGUGUAUCUACUAUCGAGAGCUUAAUAAGGUUACGAUUAAGAAUAAGCAUCAUUUGUCGAGGACUGAUGAUUUGUUCAAUCAGUUGAAAGGAGUAGUAGUAUUUUCAAAGAUUGAUUUAUGAUCCGACUAUUAUCAGUUGAGGGUUAAAGACUCUGAUAUGUCGAAAACUACAUUUAGGACUUGGUAUGGACAUUAUGAAUUUCUUGUUAUGCCAUUUGGAUUAACUAAUGCUCCUGCAGUUUUUAUGGAUUUGAUGAAUAUAAUUUUUAGACCUUAUUUAGACAGAUUCAUGGUUGUAUUCAUUGAAGAUAUUCUGAUCUAUUCGCGAGAUGAGUCUGAACAUGCUGAGCACUUGAGGAUUGUGUUACAAACGUUGAAAGAUAAGCAACUAUUUGCUAAAUCUAGCAAGUGCAAGUUUUGGCUCCGAGAAGUUGGAUUUUUGGGACACAUUGUUUCGGCUGAAGGCAUUAGAGUUGAUUCGAGCAAAAUUUCAGCAAUUGUUGACUGGAAACCACGGAGAAACAUAUUCGAAGUCAGAAUCUUUCUGGGUUUAGCAGGCUAUUGUUGGAGAUUUUUUAAAGGUUUCUCUAUUAUAGCUACACCAAUGACUCGGUAAUUACAAAAAAGAUGUGAAAUUCGUGUGGUCUAAAAAAUGUCAAUAGAGUUUUGAGCAGUUGAAAACAUUGUUAACUGAGGCACCAGUUCUGGUUCAACCUAAGUCGGGUAAAGAGUUUGUGAUUUUCAGCGACGCGUCAUUGAGUGGUUUAGGUUGUGUUUUGAUGGAAGAGGGAAAAGUGAUAGCUUAUGUUUCCAAGCAAUUGAAACCGCACAAAAAGAAUUAUCUGACGUACGACUUAGAGUUGGCCGCUAUUGUUUUCGCAUUGAAAAUUUGGUGACAUCAUUUAUACAGUGAAAAGUGCCAUAUCUUUACCGACCACAAGAGUUUGAAGUAUUUAAUGACUCAGAAAUUUUUGAAUUUGUGACAACGAAGAUGGCUCGAGUUGUUGAAAGAUUAUGAAUUGGUGAUUAUCACCCGGGGAAAGCGAAUGUAGUAGCAGAUACCUUGAGUAGAAAAUCUUUAUUUGCAUUGUGAGCAAUGAAUGUGCGAUUGAGCUUGUCCAAUGAUGAUUCGAUUUUACCUGAAUUAAAAGCUAGACCGAUGUUCUUACAACAAAUUUGUGAAGAUAAAAAAUGAGAUAGCAAAUUGCAAGCUAAAAGAGUACAGUGUGAGUCGAUUUUUGAUUCAGAGUUUCAGAUCAAAUCCGUUGAUUGCUUAUUAUUCCGAGGUAGAGUUUCAGAAGUGCACAGUGGUAGCUUGUCUGUUCCAUCGGAAAGUACUAAGAUGUGUAGUGAUUUGAAACAAAUGUACUGAUGGACGGGUAUAAAAUGUGACAUUUCUGAGUUUAUGUCGAAAUGAUUGACUUGUUAGCAAGUCAAAGCUAAACACCAAGUACCUUCGGGGCUAAUAAUAAUAUCCCCAAACCGAUGGUCAGUCUGAGAGAGUGAUUCAAAUUCUCGAGGAUAUGCUUCGUUGUUGUGUUUUGGAGUUCGAAGGUAAUUGGGAAAAAUAUUUACCUUUGGUUGAAUUCACGUAUAAUAAUAGUUUUCAAUCGAGUAUUAAGAUGGCAUCGUAUGAAGCUUUGUAUGGUCGAAAAUGUCGAACUCCAUUGUAUUAGACUGAGCUUGGUGAGAAAAAGAUACACGGGGUUGACUUGAUCCGAGAAAUCGAAGAGAAGCUGAAAGUGAUUCGCGACAGCUUAAAAGCUGCUUCAGAUCAACUGAAAUCUUACGCGAAUUUGAAGCAUAAAGAUAUUGAAUUUCAGGUUGGCAAUAAAGUGUUUUUGAAAGUAUUUCCUUGGAAAAGAAUUCUUCGAUUUGGUUGCAAAGGAAAGUUGAGUCCACGAUUUAUUGGACCGUAUGAGAUUAUCAAGAGAAUUGGGCCAGUAGCUUAUCAACUUGAGUUACCGUCUAAGUUGGAAAAGAUUAAUAAUGUAUUCCAUGUAUCUAUGGUACGACAGUACUGAUUGGACCCUUCGCUUAUAAUUUCUCCAACCGAGGUUGAGAUUCAACCAAACAUAUCAUAUAUGGAAGAACCGAUCUGAAUUUUGGCAUAUAAGGUCAAUAAAUUGAGAAAUAAAAGAAUACCCUUAGUGAAAGUUCUUUUGCAUCGUCAUGGGAUUGAAGAGGCCACUUGGGAACCCGAGGAAACUUUGAGAAAAUAAUACCCUAACCUAUUUUUCGGUAAAAUUUUCGAGGACGAAAAGUCCUAAGGGGGGAGAGUUAUAACGGCCCAUUUACAGUAAAAUCGAAACAGUGGUUUUAGGACCACAAAUUUGAAAGUCCUAAGGGGGAGAGUUGUAACGGCCUAUUUACAGUGAAAUCGAAACAGUGGUUUUAGGACCACAAAUUUGGAGUCAAAAAUUUUAUUUAAUAUUUUUUAUGUGGUCUACAACAUGCUACAAGUAUGGUAUAAAAAUUUCGUUAAGAAAUUUUAACGUUUGUUUGCUCAAUUUGUGAAAAAGGACUAAAUCGCAUAAAGUGCGAAAGUUGUGUUCUAUUAGUAAAGGUAUUAAAUAGAUAUAGAAUGUUAAAUUACAGGUCCUUAUUGAGUAAUUAGACCAUUAAAGAAGGUAGUGGAUGUACAUGGGGUGAAAUCAUAAAUAGUCAAAGUUGGUAAGGCGUUAGUAAAUUGUUGACUAAUGUUAAAGUAAAUAAAAUAAAAACAAAGUGGCCAUCUUCUUCUUUCUUUUUCAACCAAAAAUACCAUCAAACUAAGAGCUUGGAAAGCUUGAAUUUUUCAGCCGCAAAGUCCCUUGCAUGUAAGUGAAAUUGGUGUUUGUUUUUGUUGAUUGUUAUGUUUUUGGAACCCUUAUAGCUUAAGCUAGCUAAAUAGGGGACUAAUUUGAAAAAUGGUUGAAACGCUAGGGCUUUUCCAAGAAAGCAUGAUAGUUUUUUUAAAAUUUUAAUGGAAUAAAAUGAAAAUUGGUUGGGUGUUAAAUACUUUUUGUUAAGUGAUUUUUGACAUAAAAUUCAAUUAGGGGUUAAUUUGUGAAGUAUGAAGAUUUUGAGUUAUAUGUGUGAAAUUAGGGCUUAUAUGGGCUUCUAUGAGCACCUAGAUAAUUCGGUUAGGCUUUGAUAUGGAUGAAAUUGCAUAAAUUUUGUUUUACGAGCCUAGGAACUAAUUUGUAAAAAAGUUAAAAGUAUAGGGGUAAAAUGGUAAUUUUUCACUAAUAUGAAAUUGGAUUGAAUUGAAUAGAAUAAGCAUUGAAUUAGUUAAAUUUGAUUAUAUAGAUCAAGAAAAGCAACAUUUAGACAUAAAUCGAGGCAAAGAUAAAGUGGUAGAUUGAUCGAUCGAUUUAAUCCGUACAAUUACGAGGUUAGUUCGUACAAUUAAACAUUUAAUGUUUAUUUAUUUAAUUGAUGAAUGAUAUUAUGCACUUGUACAUAUCUAUUGUUGAACUUUGAAAUGGAAUUAAAUGUUCAAACAGGUGCAUCGCAGGAUUUAGUACAAAUGUUUUAUGCAAAUGAGGAAUUUACGGAUAAGACUAUGGUUUGACCAUGGCAACAUUAUUAUGUAAGACCAUAGUUGGGCUAUGGCAUUCUCAUGAUAAGACCAUAACUGGGUUAUGGCACUACGAAUGUAAGACCAUGGUAGGGCCAUGGCAUUUCGCGUAAAAGACCAUAGUUGGACUAUAGCACAAGGAAAACAAUGUACUCAUAUCUGUAAGCCAAUCUCGGUUUCAGAAUAAUGAGGUAAGUGCAUUCAUCGAUAUUUAAAUAAUCCAAUGAGCUCAUUAAUAAUAUGAGGUGAUUCGAGUUAAAGUAAAUCAGUGUAGGUAUUCGCAAGAAUUACAAAAAAUAAUUCAUAGUGGAGGUAGCUAUACAACAUUAACCUAAUUACGAUUAUGUGAUAAGCUUUGAACUGAAUUGUAAAUUUUCUGUGUAUUAAUUUUGGUAAGUUAAAUUGUGGAUGCUUUGGAAGGUUUUUUUUAGUAGUCAUACAAACUUACUAUGCUUAAUUGCUUACUCGGUUUAUGUUUCAGAGUUUUAUAGUGAAUCAGAAGCUCACUUGAUUCGGAAGUCAUCGGAGAUCGCGUCACACUAUCAAACUCACAUUUUGGUAUUUUAGACUUUGUAUAUUUUGGGUUAAAUGGCACGUAUAGGUGUUUUGGUUAAGGUAGCCUAUAUGUUGGUUGUAUAAUUAGCCAAGUGAGUUGGCUUGAGAAUGAUAUAUGUUUUGAUAUGUAAGUAUGUAUAUAUAUGGCCUUUUGAUAUGUUGUGUAUAGCGGCUUUGUGGAUGCCUUGUUAAGGAUUGGUAUCUUGUGUAGCAAAUGGUUGGAAUUGAGAUGAGCAUGUAUGCUAAGUUAGGCAUAAGGUCUAAAGCAUGUAAUUGACCAUUUAGUUAUACUUUACAAAUAUCUUUGGUAUGUUUAAAAGUGGUCAAAUGAAUGUGCUUAUGGAUAUCAUGUUGUAUGUAUGGUUUGUGUAUGGUAUAAACUUGGUAUUGGUGUGCUUGAAGUGGCUAUUUAUGGCAUGGUUGUAUGUACAUUGUUGAGUUUAGGUUGGCACCACUUUGGGUGAGGAAUAUGGCUUGGAAAAUAGCCUAUUUUUGUCCACACGGGCAUGUGUCUCGGCCGUGUGUGACACAGGGCCGUGGUACACGGCCGUGUGUCCCCUAAUACUAUUCAAAAAGCAAGUUAAUGGCUUCACACGGUCUAGCACACAGCCGUGUGGGUUAGCCAUGUGGCACAAGUCAGUAUACCCUCCAGUUUUAGCACGGCCUGAACAUGGGCCUGUGUGGCCAUUUCAUGAGGAACACGGCCUGACACACGGGCGUGUGGUCUGGCCGUGUGAGCCAAGUUAGAGAGUUAGACGGGGUCGAAAACGGGCUGGGACACGGCAUGUGAUCCCAUUUCAAAUGCCCAUAUGGCUUGAGACACGGGCAUGUCUCUUGGCCUUGUGAGAGACACGACUGAGGUAUACGGGCGUGUGACUCUUGUACCUUGAAACUUUUUAAUAUUUUCUCAAAACUUUCUUGAGUUAUUGGUUUAGUCUCGAAUCACUUCUAAUGAUUGUUUUGGGCCUCUAGGGCUCGUGUUAGGGACUAUAUGAUUGUAUUUUUGAAUAGUUCUUGUUUGGAUUGAGAAUUGAACAUGAAAUGUAUGAUGGUUUGAGUUAUAAGUCUAGUAAUACUCUGUAACCCUAUUCCGGCGUCGAAUACGGGUUAAGGGUGUUAUAAGGUGUUACACGAAGUCCAUGACGAAUGCGCAAAUAGCGUCCCAUGGAGGUCAAUUGAUGAAAUAGGGCUCAUUCGACCCAUUUGAACUGGCCCAAUUCGUAGAACACGUGGAGAAGCCUAUAUACUUGAAGCAUUGGUAGUCUAGUGAAACACUUAAUGAAAAUUAGUUACCUUGGUAAAUAUGACAAGUAAUCUUAUAAGAUGUGUAAUUCGAUAAAACUUGAUUAUGUAAUAUUAAGGGAUUGUGUAAAACCUUUAAGAAUCUCAAUUUUAAGUAGGCUGUAAUCUUGAUCGUCAAUGUAAUUUAAUUUGUACCAUGGGAUUUUGGGGAGUUUAAAUAUAAAUAGAGGCCUCCCCCCUCAUUUUUAAUCACUCAAUUGUAAUUCUUCAUAGUAAUUGAAUACUAUUGAGAGCAUUUACUCAAACACUUGACGUGCUUUUUCUUUCUUGUGACUUUUCUAUUUUUUUGUUACUUUUUUGUUUUGAGUUGCUUCCACUUUAUUUUCAGUGCGUUGGAGAAUUUUAUCAAGAAUUCUCACUUUGUGAGAGAUUGGUUGACUUAGGCAAAUUUGAAGAAAAGAAAUCACCUAAGGUCGCAUAGAUUGCGAAACUAAAGUUCUAACCCCAUGAUAUAGACAAGUACCCUAAACAUCCUUCCAAAAUUUAGUGCUACACCCAUUGCCAAUUGAUGAAUGAAUGUUGCACAUAAUAUCAUCUCAAACCCUUGCAAUGGACUGCCAAACAUGAGAAGCAACUGGUUGAUUAAUACUGGCUGGACAUGUUUCCACCAUGUUAUAUUUAGAUUGCAAAAUUCGAACCCAUAAAGCUUAUUUGUUGGUCAAAAUUGUGAAGCCUAAUUUCAUUAGGAAAGAAUGGUUAUUCACAUUCAAUUUUCGAAUGCCUAAACCUCAUGCUCAUAGGGUUUUGGCAACAUGGGUUCCAAGACACAGGAGUUGGCUUCUUCGAAUCAAUACCCCCUCAAAUAAAGCUUCUAACAAUGUUCUCGAUUUCCAUACAAAUGUCUAUAGGGAUCUUAGUAAUUCGCAUGUAAUAAGAAGAGAUUGAGAAUAACACUGACUUAGCAAGCAUAACACAAUUCGGUAACGAAAUAACUCUAACAUCCCAUCCAUUAACUGCUCACGAACUUUCUCAACAAUAAAGCGGAAUGUAUCUUUGGUGACCCUUUUAUGAAAAAGUGGAAUACCCAAGUGCUUUCUCAAAUUUGAAACUCGUUGGAAGCCCAGGGUACUUCACCAUGUUUUACUAUAUGAGUUAGUGAUAGACUAAUUUCAAUUGGUAAUUUUUAGCCACUCACAUGGCUUGUUUCGAGAAAAAAGGAAAAUUUUCUGCUUAUUUUGAAGAUGCAUUUUUUUUACUAGAGUUUUUACUCAUCUUUCUAAUUUCAAGUGUAAAUUUGCACUAGCUAUUCUUUAUUUUAUGUCUAACUAUUGUAAUACAUAUAGAAUAAAUGAGUCUUUUCCUCAUGUUCUUACAUGAGAAACCAAACAAGUCAUAAAUGAUAAAUAUACUAUUUGAUACUUUAUUUUGGCUUCAAUGUUCAAUUUGGCACCUCAAUUUUUUUUGUCUCAAUUUGGUAUCUAAGUUUGGAUUUGAUUUUCACUUUAGUACGUACUUUUUUUUAAUUUCAUACUUGAGUUUUUUUUGUCAUACACCAAAAUUCCAUUAUAUGUCAAAAUUUUGGAUCCAUGAAUUUGCAUAGUUUUGAGUAGUUUGAAGGUUGGGAAUUAUUCUUAAAUAUAUAAUUAGAUUAUUAAAAUCGAUUAUAAGUAAUGUGAAUGAGUAAAGAUUAAGAUAUUUUAAUUUCAAGUUUGUUAUGUCGAAAGUUUCGAUUUCAAGAGAAUUUAGCUUAGGCCUAUGUUUUUAGAUAAUUUUGGUGAGUCCUUGGCUGAAUGUUGAUUGUGUUGUUGUGUGAAUUAUUUGGUUGAAGCUUUGGAAUCGUUAAGACCUUCUACGAGUAAAGAGAAAGGUAAGGAAAAGAUAGUUUGAGCUUUCGGCGUCUAGGUGAAAGCGUGAAUGGUGAGUGUUUGGAAUCGCUACUUGUAGACACGAUUAAUUGCGUUAAUUGGGAAUUUAGAAGUAGCCUAAACCUCUACUCUAAAUUCCGAGUGUAAGCUUUCUCAUACUAUUGAUUUAAUAUGUGAUUGUGUGUUGUGAAUUUGUGGAUUAAGAUAUGAUAUUAUAACAUGUGAAAUAAGCUUAUGAUGGUUAUUGUGAAAGAGUUGAUUGUGGGCAUGUUAUACGUGCCAAAUAACAGUGAUUAUGUUGUGUUUAUAAUGUGAAUAUGUGGUGAAAAGUGCAAAAAAUGGUAAGUAAUAUGUGUGUUUAAUAACGAAUAUUUUGGCCUUGUGAUUUUUGAGAUCGUUGGAUAUAGUUGACAUGCCAUAGGAUUGUGAGUACUCACCUAUAUAUGUUGUGUUUUGGGGGUGUUAAGGCCUGGGACAUUUUAGAAGAGAUAAGGGAAUGUGAGCUAAGCUCCAUUCACUGGGAUAUGUUGGUGUGUUGGAGAGUUUUAGCUAUAUGCUUCACUUUUGGGAUAUGUUCAACUCUACGAGUCAUUUGGUGUGUUGGAGAUCUAUGUAUCCGAUGUAUGGUGAUAGAGCCCACUUUUAUGUUUCAUAGCUCAAGUGCCAAAUUAUCAUUAAAUGUGAUUAUGUGUGAUGUGAUAUAAGCUUAAAUGAGUUUGUGACUUCUAUGUAAACGACCAUUUGAAUAAUGCAUGAUUAAGUAAUAUGACGCUAAAGUUGGAAAUGUUGUAAUUGGGCUAUAUGAAUGCUUUGUUAAUGCAUGAUGACAUGUUUGCGUAAUAGUUAUUCUGAUCAUUCACUGAGCUUGUUUAAGCUCAUCCACUCCUUUUUAAACCUUUGCAGGCUGUUAAGCAUUGCGGUGUGAGCGGUGCGAAAUAUUUUCCAAUGGACUAAUCUAAGUAGUUUAGCAUUUGAGUAGGUGAAUUAUAGUAUUAUUCUGAACUGUGGGAAUAAGGCAAUGUAGUAGACUUGUUGCUUGAAUGCUGCCAUGAUGUUUUGGGAUGAUUACUUGGACUUGCUACUCACAGAAUUUAUAGACGUUUGACAUUGGUUUAUUGGUAUUACUUAGCUUAAACUAUUGUUGAUGCUUUGAGUUGUAUUUCCGGAUCAUUUUGAUGCUAAACUUUGAGCUUAUAAAUGCAUGAUUAGUUGGUAUGUUAGAUGUUCUAGUUUGAUGUUAUUUUUGUUGAAUUAUGCAGAGGUAUCGAUAACUAGGACAUAUGUAUUGAUACCUGUGUAAUUUAGUCGGUGUCGCAACAUCUAGUGCUUGUGUCGCGAUACUGAAGACAGUAUGCUCGAUUCCUGAUUCAGCCCCAGUAGUGUGUCGCGACAUCAAAGGCAGUCUUGGUAUAUGUGUAAAGCUUUGAUGUUUGAUGUAGCUUCCUGUUACUUGGGUUUGACAAUUGGGCUGAGUACGGGAUGUUACAUUUUUUUGUCCUGGUUAAGUACCUUAAUUUGGCUUCAAUUUUCAUUUUAGUAUUUGAGCUUUUUAUGUCCCAAUUAAGUGCCUAUUUUCUUUUUUACUAGAGCACACAUGCCAAAUAUUAGUUGGGCCACAUGAUAUUUGGCUUAGGUACCAAAUUGGACAUUGAAGCCAAAUUCUAGUACCAAAUUGAAAAAAAAAACCUCAAGUGUCAAAUUAAAUAUUAAAUUCAAACUUAGGUACCAAAUGAUAUUUUAAAGCAAUAUUAAAUCCAUGACCUUAAAGUAUUUAUUAACCCAAUUACCCAAACUUCAUUGGUAUUGAACUUAAAAAAACUUAGCCUUUAACAUUUAUAUUUUAUAUUUCUUUUUGUCAAUUUGACCCUUAUUUUAUUUUUAAACUAAAUUUGACCUUCAACCUUUUAAAAAGAGUAAAAUUUGACCAUCAAUCUUUCAAAAAGAGUUGAAUUGUUUUUUUAAUGGAAAAACUGACUAAAACAUUAAAUUUUUAAACAUUGUAGAUUAUAUGGCAAUUCACGUGUACUUCAUACUAUUUUUUAAAAUUUUAUGAACUUUUUAUAUUCUUUAAUUUUAAUUUGUUUAAUAUUUUAUAAAUUUUAAAUUAUUUGUUGAUGUAACAUAUAAGAUAAAUAUUGUUAUGUUAGCAUGUAGUACACAUGGAUUGUCAUGCAGGUUGCCAUACCAAUAUUGUUACAAAAAGUUAAUGUUUUAGUCAAUAUUUUUGUUAAAAAAAGUGAGUUAACUCUUUUUGAAAUAUUAAUGACCAAAUUUAGCUAAAAAAUAAGACUAAAAUUAAUAAAAUAUAUAAACAUUGAGAAUUAAAUUUAGGCAUAAUAAUUUUUUGGGCCUUCCAACUUUACAAAAGAAGUCAUUGUAGCUCUUCAUUUAUUUUUCGUCUUUUUUAACACUUGAACUUGCGGUUUUUUUUUUUGUCAAGUCACCCAAAAAUGAAUGGAAAUGUUAACAUUUAUUUAACAUUGUUGACAUUGCAUAUAUGUGGAUUACCAAGUGGAUAACACAUUAACAUUUAAUUAUUUUUUAAAAUUUUUAAAAAUAUUUUUAAAAAAUUAUAAUUUUUAAUAAGUUUUAUGAUUUUAAAUUUAUGAGGUGAUAUAGAAAGAAACCUACCUCAUUUGGACUUUCACUUUGUAUGCAAAAUCUUGGCCAAGUCGCCGUACAUAAGUUUAACAGUAGGUUAAAAUAACGAUCUUGGAAGAAUAGUAACUUGUUGUCAUUAAGGCAUAUCUUGAAAUUUUAUGGAUAUUAUUAAGAUUUCAAUAAAGUAGGCAAAACAGUACAAUAUGACACAUAGUUUAGAGUCGUCCAAAGGAAAUUCUACAGAGCUUAGGGAUAUUUUAGGAAGAUAUGGGAAUGAUAGGCUUUUAAGUUGUUAGUUUAGUUAGUGUUUUUCAACAUUAUAUUUCUAUUUUGGUGAAUUACAAGAAGAGAGUAAAGUCCUAAUAGCAACGCGACUAACACGAUUCAAACCCAGACCAUACCUGCGGCAGUAAACACUUUGAUCAUCAAGUCAACACAUUAGGUUCUCAACAUUGCAUCUUUACAUUUUGUAUUAGAGUUAACAAACUGGUUGAAAAAAUGUCCCUAAAAGUAUAUCAAAUGCCAACACUAUAAUUAGUAAAUUAGAUAAAAAAAUUUCUAUAGCAAGAACUAUAAAAAUUUAUAUUUAUCUACUGUGAGAUAGAAAAAAAAAAGCAAGAAUCACCAUUUCCAUUUUUUAAAAUAAUUUUUACCAUGUUCUAAUAAUUUCUUUUAUUUUUUAUAUUUUAAAAGAAUUAUGCCUACAAAUUAUAAUGAAACAUGGAUAAAAAGAUGUCCAUAUUUAAAUAAAUUUAGAUGUCUAUUUAUCUAUAUUCAUUUUCAAUUUGAAUUUUUAAUAUUUUUUUUUGUUAAAUUGAACUGCUAUGUCAAUAUCAUGAUGGUUGAUUAACAACCAUAUUAAUGUGGUAAUAAUUAAUGGUGAGAUUAAUUAGUCAACACGCCUAAUGAAGAUAAUUAAUAUUUUUUUAGAGAAAAUUUCAACUUGUAGGACCAUUUACCUUUAUUUUUUUCUUGGGGUGGUUGAUUAUCUUUUCUUCUUUUGUUGCUUUGACUUGUAUAAAUUUUCGGGUAAUAUACAAAUAAAAGCCCUUUUUUUUAAAAUUUACUAAAAUAGGUCAGGUAAAAAAUUAAUUACUGGAAUUACUCUAUUUCCCCGAAAACGCGUCCACGUCAACGCGUUGUCAGGGUUUUGGGUUUUGGGUUUAGGGUUUGGGUUUUUGGGUUUUUAGGUUUAGGUUUUUAAAGAAAAAAUUAAAUAAAUAAGGGAUUAGGGUUUAGGGUUUCUUAAUUAAAUUAAUUAUAAAUUUUUCAAAAUUAGAUUAGGGUUUCGCGUUUAUGGUUUUUAAAGAAAAAUCAAUUAAAUUAGGGUUUAGGGUUACUUGAGUAAAUUAAUUAAAAAAAUUUUAAAAAUUAGAUUAAGGUUUAGUGUUAAGGGUUUUUAAGGAAAAAUCAAAUAAGUUAGGGUUUAGGGUUAUUUAAGUAAAUUAAUUAUAAAUUUUAAAAAAAUUAGAUUAGGGUUUAGUGUUUAAGGUUUUUAAGGAAAAACUCAAAUAAAUUAGGGUUUGGGGUUUAGGAUUACUUAAUUAAAUUAUUUGUUAAUUGAGAAAAGCUCCCACGUGGACGCUCUUUUGCUACAGUAGCUCCUGAAAAAAUAAAUUCGAGGAGACGUUUCUGAGCAAAUAGUGUCAAAAACGCUUUAAGCAGGAUGCAUUGUCAGCAAAAGUAUUGAAAAAAGCUCCCACGUGGACGCGCUUUUACUACAGUAGCUCCUGAAAAAAUAAUUUCGAGUAGACGUUUCUGAGUAAAUAGUGUCAAAAACGCUUUAAGUAGGAUGCUUUGUCAGCAAAAGUAUUGAAAGAAGCUCCCCCGUGGACGAGCUUUUGCUACAGUAGCUCCUGUUUGGCCUGAGGCUAUAAAUGAGGCAAAAUUUUUUCUCAGAUUGCAUAAGUUACAGCAAAAAAAAUUAGAGAGCCUAAGAAGGAUAGAAAUUGAAGAUGAGUGAAUGUAUUAGUGUUGUUAUUUACUAUGAUGGUGAGGUUCGUCACACUGAGAACGGUGUUAUUUUUUUAUCGGAGAAUACAGUGCGACUGGUUUUUAACCAGAACAUAGAUUUGAUAGAACUUCAUAAAAGAAUUAGGCGUAAAAUAUUAGAAACGACGUCAAUGAAAGUUUUAUCUAUUACGUAUCGGUUUUGUUCUUCUGUUGAUCCGGUGACAUAUGACUCGUUCGACAUAAAAUGUGCUCGUAGCUUGGAGGCAAUGGUAUAGACACAUCUCGCUAGUGGAGCACACUAUAUUGAGUUAUAUGUACAAUUUACAUCGCCAAAUGAUGCACUUGCGACUGCUGUUCGAGAGGUAUACACGACUCCUGCCUGACACUCGGUUAGUGGGUUACAAAACACGAAACAACCCAUGUUUGGCAGCGGUAUGGUAUACACAACCCUUGUUUGACACCCUGUUAGUGGAUAGGACAUGCACCACGGUAGGUCGAUGUUUGAUGCUGGAAAUACGUACUGGGGAACGGCAUCAACUUCUAGUGGUUGGCAAUCUACAUUCAAUUGGGGACGUUAUGAAAUGCCCAGAAGAAUGGAUAAUAUACUCCCUACGAUGUCCACCGGUGAGGAGACCUCGUACGUUGCAGAUGAUGGUGGGUUAGAAGAUGACUCCAAUGUGGAUCCACCUCAAGAGCCCGGGGUUUGCGAUCGAGACAACUUAUGGUUUCGCGUGACAGAGUUUGACAGACCGCACCAAGGUGUUAUUGGCAGGCAAUAUCGUGUACACUUGCGAAAUAGGACUUGCGACUGUGGGAUGUUUGACGCACUUCGUUAUCCAUGCGCUCAUGUAAUUGUAGCUUGUCAUAAUCUCCGUCUGAAUUCGAUAAGUUAUGUCGACGAAGUGUACAAAUUAGAAAACAUGUACAACGUCUGGAGACACGUAUUCCAACUGAUCCCAGAUGAACGUAAGUGGCUGUCUGUAUUGCUUGCUCCCUUUAAGCUGUUACCGGAUAGAGAAUUGCGUCGCAAACCAAAGGGUCGAUCUUGCUCGACAAGAAUACGUAACAAUAUGGAUAUUCGAGAAACAGCCAGUCAACAGACGUUGUGCGGAUGGUGUAGGAACCUAGGCCAUUCAUGCCGAUCAUGCCCAAAUCACAAUAGUUGAACGUUAUUGUAAAAAACUUUGUAUUAUUUAUAUUUUUUAAAUCAAAUAAUAUAGAAAUAUUCAGAAUACUGACUUAUUUAAAAGAAAAUCUAUUUUAUUAAAAAUAAUAAAGUAAAUUACAAAUACUUUAUUCAAAACAAUGUUUUAUUUUAUUAAAUGAAAUAAUAUAGAAAUAUUCAAAAUAUUGUGUUAUUUAAAAGAAUUUCUAUUAUAUUAAAAAUGUAAAUGUAAAUUUCUAUUUUAUUACAUGAAAUAAUAUAGAAGAAUUUCUAUUUUAUUACAUCAAAUAAUAUCAAAAUAUUCAAAAUAUUUGUACAAAUAUAUUAAAAUAAAAAUCAAUCUCCGUGCCCACCGAAUUCAGUGCCACAUGGUGGCCAUCGAUGGUUACGCGCUGGAUUCCUCAUUUGUCUAGCUUCCGGUGGGGGUUAUGGUUGUUCCCACGGGGAUUCUGGUUCCUCCGGUAGGGGAUAUGGUUGUCGGUGUUGGGAUGAUGAGCCACCUUGAGAGAAUAGUGAUUGUGGAGGUGUUUGCAUCACCAACGGCAAAGCUGUUUGAAACCCAUAUGGUGAUGGGGAUUGGUAAAAAGAAGAGCUCCCCGACGGCCCCUCCUACGAUCCCUCGUGCGACGGUGGCCUAUACAUCGGUGGCCCACUCGGCGUAAUCGAAAAUGGAGAUGAACCGGACCAUGAACUUUAACCUGUCAUAGGACUAAAAAAAGGAAACAUAUAAGGGUUAGGAUAAAUAAAAGGGCUAGGAUACGCACCUGGCAUCAUCUGAAAAGGUUGUGCUGUGGGUGUCGUCAGUUGAAGUGUUAGGCUGGUGACUGUGUGGAUGCUGUUGCUGGGCCUGGUGAUGGGCCGUGUGAUUGUGAUAGACCUACGUCGUCAUCCCUUCUUCUUGGAUUUAAAGGGCCACGUCGUUCCCUUUGAACACGUAAUUUCUGCUGCCUUUCCUCUGUCGACAGUAAAUACGGCUUGCCAUGGAUUCUAAACCAUUGCAUGUAUUCUGGCACGCACGCUAACUCUAGAAGGAUGAUCGGUUCUCAAGUAGGUAUAUAAUCAUAUUGAUCUUCCUAUAUUUGGAUGUAGUGUGACCAGAAUCUCGGUCAAACCGUAUGCAAUUGCCAUAGGUCGAUUUUGUGAUGAUCAUCCAACACCUCAGGUGCCACGGGAAUCGGUUGUCAUAAUCCAAAUUGUUGUAAUACUCUGUCCGACUGGUGUAUCUCCACGGUCGCAAAGUUGACCAAUGAGACUUUUACAUACCAAGCGUUUGGAUUUUGGAAAUACUCAUUCGGAAUUACAGCUCGAAUUGCCGGAUCCUUGUAUGGUGUCCAUUGGAACUAUAUGAACAUGAUGGAAAUAUUAGUUAUAUACAUAAUACUAAAUACUAAAUACCAAAUACCAAUCGACUAUCUCAUGAUGGAAAUAUCUAUUUGAUUUAAUACUUACUUGUGCUUCCGACAGUUGGUCUAAUAGAAGCCGUAUAUCUUCAAGAAAGGUAGGUAAUCCAACAUAACUUGCCGAAUAGUUCCACCUAAUUAAAUAAAUUUUUAGCAUACGAUUAUAUUUUAAAUCUACGUAAUAAUUGUAAAAUAUAAUAUAAAAUUUACCUCGUUAUGAGUGCGAAUGUAUAUUGGUGGUCCACUUGAGGACGUAAAAGUGGAAAGCGAAACCGUGCCCAUGACUGCAGUAGUGAUAGGCAACCUCCAAUUUUCAUUUUAUUCGGUCGCGUCACCCCGCACAUCUUCCGGUACAAUGUUGCCUACAUGGUAGACCCCCGACUAAAUUCAACAGCUGCUCUAAAAUCAACGAGUUUUAGCAGCCAUCUCAGAUGUACAAGGCUCCGUGACAAGUCCGGUAUCAGAUAACCUCCAAUUAUCUGAGGAAUGUUUGCCCGAGCAUAUCAGAUUCUUUCUAGUUCGGUAGAAUUAUCAUUCGGCUCCGGAAAUGUGUCUCGUAGCCUGCCCAUCUCAAUCCGACCUCUGUUAAUAUUAUCCGGAAUAGCACCCAAAAGCUCGUAGCAUACCGCUCCCCAAUCACCAGAUUGAACAGACCCAGUGACUGCGUACCUGUCCACCGGCAAUCCCAAUUGCAAAUUUACGUCUUCCAAAGUAAUAGUACACUCUCCACAUGGAAGAUUGAAUGUGUGCAUCUCGGGUCUCUACCUCUCAAUCAACGCACUGAUAAGUUUUGGGUCCAACUUGCAUCCCUAGUCUACCGUCGCCACGUGCCAAAAACCUGCUUCCCAUAGGUAAUUCUCUACCAACGGUGAUGGAGGACCAUGCAUAUUACGAAUAUAGCAUUGCAAUAUCCGAUCUAUAGACUUUUAUAAGAAAUAAUAAAAUAAAAAUUAUUUAAAAUUGCAUAAAUCAAAAAAAUCUUAAAUAAUUUUUAAAAAUUAAAUUUAACACUUACCAUUUUCAUUUGUUCAACGGAUAUGUGAUUGUUAUCGAGACGAAUUAAUUUUCUGGCCAUUGCUAACACGAUCAAAUUUUUAUGAUUUAAAAAAAAUCAAAAAAAAUAAAACUAAAUAUUUUUUAAAAAUAAUUAAAAAAUUAAAGUUUUUUUUAGAGGAAUUUGAGAGAAUAUUGGAGAGAAAUUGAGAGAAAGGAUUUAGGUGUGAAAAAAAUAGAAGGGGGUUUUAUAGUUUUUUUUACCGUUGGGGGGUCACCAACAGUCAAAAAGUAGCCGUUGGUAUUGAUCACGCGCGGGCAAGGACGCGCUUUCUGUCCACGUGGACAAAGCGCUUCCUUGAGGAAGUGUUUUCCUGCCUCGUCACCUGACAACGCGCUAACGUAGAUGCGUUUUCGGGGUUAUUUCGGUAAUUAAUUUUUUACCGGGCCCAUUUUAGUAAUUUUUUAAAACAUGGGCUGUUAUUAGUAUUUUGCCUUAAAUUUUCAUUUGUUAUCAUAAAAUUAGUGUUAUAAUUAUUUUGUCACUGUCAAACAUAGAAUGGCGGUCUCUUUUUUCUCUUUUACUAUGUGCAAUUGGGGCAAAUUACCAAUAAAAGUCCCUUUAUUUUUAAAAUUACCGAAAUGGGCCAGGUCCUGAAUUAAUUAUCGAAAUGGGCCAUUUCCCCCAAGAAUGUGUCCACGUCAGCGCGUUGUCAGGGGAUAAAGCAGGAAAACACUUCCUCAAGGAAGCGCUUUGUCCAUGUGGACAGAAAACGCGUCCACAUGGAUAGAAAACGCGUCCUUUAGGGCGCGCUUUGUGUCCACGUGGACAAAGCACUUCCUUAAGGAAGCGUUUUCCUCGUGUCUGCUACAGUACCAACGGCUAUUUUUUUUACCAUUGGUAAUCCUCCGAUGGUAAAAAAAAAAAACUAUAAAACCCCCCUUUCUUUUUUUUUUCACACUUAAAUCAUUUCCAUCUUCAAUCUUUCAAUAUUCUCCCAAAUUUCUCUCAAAUUUCUCUCAAAUUCCUCUCAAAGCUCUGUUUAAUUUUUUUUUAAAAGCUCUAAUUUUAUUUUUUUGGAUUUAUUUUUUUAAAUAAAAAAACUUGAUCGUGUUAGCAAUGGCCGGAGAAUUAAUCGUCUCGAUGAUAAACACAUAUCCGUCGAACAAAUGAAAAUGGUAAGUGCUAAAUUUAAUUUUUAAAUAUUAUUUAAGAUUUUUUUCAUUUAUGCAAUUUUAAAUAAUUUUUAUUUUAUUAUUUCUUAUAAAAGUUUGUAGAUCGGAUAUUGCAAUGCUAUAUCCGUAAUAUGCCUGGUCCUCCAUCACCGUUGAUAGAGAAUUACCUGCGGGAAGCGGGUUUUUGGCACGUGGCGACGAUAGGCCAAGGGUGCAAGUUGGACCCAAAACUCAUUAGUGCAUUGAUAAAGAGGUGGAGACCGAGACGCACACAUUCCAUCUUCCAUGUGGAGAGUGUACUAUCACGUUAGAAGACGUAAAUUUGCAAUUAGGAUUGCAGGUGGACGGGUACGCAGUCACCGGGUCUGUUCAAUCUGGUGAUUGGGGAACGGUAUGCUACGAGUUUUGGGUGCUAUUCUGGAUAAUGUUAACGGAGGUCGGAUCGAGAUAGGUAGGUUACGAGACACAUUCCUGGAGCUGAAUGAUGGUUCUACCGAACUAGAAAGAAUAUGAUAUGCUUAGGCAUAUAUUCUUGAGAUAAUUGGAGUUUAUAUGGUGCCGGACUUGUCACGAAACCUUGUACAUCUGAGAUGGCUGCUGAAACUCGUUGAUUUUAGAACAGCUGGUGAAUUUAGUUGGGGUCUGUCGUGUUGGCAACAUUGUACCGAGAGAUGUACGGGGUGACGUGACCAAAUAAAGAGAAAAUCGGAGGUUGCCUAUCACUACUGCAAUCAUGGACACGGUUUCACUUUCUAUUUUUACGUCUUCGAGUGGUCCACCCUAUACAUUCCCACUCAUAACGAGGUAAAUUUUAUAUUAGAUUUUACAAUUAUUACGUAUAUUUAAAAUAUAAUCAUAUGCUAAAAAUUUAUCUAAUUAGGUGGAACCAUUCGGCAAGUUAUGUUUGAUUACCUACCUCUCUUGAAGAUAUACGGCUUCUAUUAGACCAAUGGUCGGAAGCAGAAGUAAGUAUUAAAUAAAAUACAUAUACAUAAUGAGAUAAUCAAUUCGUAUUUAGUAUUUAGUAUUUAGUAUUUAGUAUUAUGUAUAUAACUAAUAUUUCCAUCAUGUUCAUAUAGUUUCAAUGGACACCAUACGAGGAUCCGGCAAUUCAGGUAGUAAUUUUGGAUGAAUACUUGCAAAAUCCGAACGCUUGGCUUGUGAAUGUCUCAUUGGUCAACUUUGUGGUCGUGAAGAUGCACCAGUCAGACAGAGUACUACGAUAAUUUGGAUUUUGACAACCGAUUCCUGCGGCACCUGAGGUGUUGGAUGAUCAUCACAGAAUCGACUUAUGACAAUUGCAUGCAGAUUGGCCGUGUAACAGCCCGAUUCUGGGCCUAGUCGGAACAGUGGUUUCGGGACCACAAAUCCAACGAGGGAAAACAUUAUUGUCAUUAUAUUUUUAUGGUCUACAAUUUCAUAGAAAAACUUUGUAAAAAUUUCGUUCGAAAAUUUCGACGUUUGGGCACUCAAUUUAGUCAAAAGGACUGAAUUGUAAAAAGUGCAAAAGUUGAUUUCUACAUGUUAGAAGUGUCUAAUUGUUAUGAAAUUAUAAAUUGGGGGUCCUUAUAUGGUAUUUAGACCAUUAGUUAAUUGAUGGACAAAAAUAGACAUAAGAAAUGGGUGAAAUAGAUUUUUUUAAAUGGAGGCAUUUUAGUCAUUUGGUAAUAAAAAGAAUAAAAAGGGAAAAAGAUGGCAAAAAAUCAUCAUCUUCUCCAUAAGUUGCUACCGAAACUUGGAAGACACCAUAGCUAGGGUUUCUUCACUUUCUCAAGCUCAUAGUAAGUGCAUCCUAGCCCCGUUUUUAAUGUUCUUCUCAUUUUUGAUAUCCUCGUAGCUCGGUUUAGCUUAUUCUACCAUUAAUUCAUGUUAGGGUGCAUAUUUGGAAAAAUACCCAUAGGUGAAAUAUGUUUAUUUUACUGUUUUAUGGUAGAAUAUGGAGCUACAAAUUAUGUUAAACAACUUUUGCUAAGCGAUUUUAAGUAAAAACGGGUAAAUUGACAUANNNNNNNNNNNNNNNNNNNNNNNNNNNNNNNNNNNNNNNNNNNNNNNNNNNNNNNNNNNNNNNNNNNNNNNNNNNNNNNNNNGUAAAACAUAAGAAUAAGGUGUGAAAUUUAAUUUUCGAGCCUAGGGAUGAAAAUGGAAAUAUGCAAAAUUUUGGGGGUAAAAUUGUAAUUUUUCAAAAAGUUGAGUGGAGGACUAUUUUAAUAAAUGUGAACAUUAAAUGAGUUAAAUUUUUUAUUAUAGAUCAAGAAAUACGAGAAGAUAAUCUCAAACGGGGAAAAGAGAAGGUUGUGGAGUAAAUUGCAAAAUUACGAUAUUUUGCACCGAGGUAAGUAAACAUGUGAAUUAAUGUAUUAUUUUGUUAUGAUUUAAUAUAUGUUGAGAUUUAAUUGAACAUAGAAUAAAUAUUUGGCAUAGAUCCUAAAAAUGUGGUUAAGUUGGGAAAGGUGGCAAAGUAUUGAAAAACGAGGUUUCCGGUUGAACACUCGGAUUAAGCCGGAGUAUAUUGAAUAUAAAGGGGGUUGCUGAGUGCUGAUUCCCCCAAGGGGUUGCUAAGUGCUGAUUCCCCGAACCAUUGGUGGUUGUUAAGUGCUGAUCCCACCGUAUCUUAAAUGUGAAAGGGGUUGCUAUGUGCUGAUUCCCCGAAUCAUUGGUGGUUGCUAAGUGCUGAUCCCACCGUAUCUUAAAUGUGAAAGGGGUUGCUAAGUGUUGAUUCCCCGAUUCAUUGGUGGUUGCUAAGUGCUGAUUCCACCGUAUUUUUGAAUGUGAAAGGGGUUGCUAAGUGCUGAUUCCCCGAAUCACUGGUGGUUGCUAAGUGCUGAAUCCAUCGAUAACGGAUAACAUUCCGAGUGUUCAAUGGGAAACUGGAAAGGUGAAUAUUUAUAUAUGGUGGACAAGGUUAUGUGAGGAAUAUUGGGUUUGAUACUUAAUCAACCCAUGUGUAAGGUGAAAGGAAAUACCAAAACUUCAAAAGAACAAAUUUAAAUAUAAAACUGUUUUGUAUAAUAACAGUUGGGCAAAUUUGAAAAAUCACCAUAAAUGGUGGAAAAAAAAUUAGAGGCUGGAUAAUAUAUGAAAUUGAAUCUGAAUAAGUCUAUUUUUGUAUGAAAGAAACAUAGCAAGCAAAAGAGUUCUGUAUUUGGGGAUAUUUAAAUUUUAUUGAGACAGGAUUAGAUUGAUUUCGAAAUCCCCUGUUUCAACUUCGGAAAAUCACCAAAAAUUGUAAAAAACUUAUUAUGGCUUGAAAUUUACAUGCUUGAACUCCUUGGUGAUUCUUUUUUUAAUAGAAACAAACAAGAACAUUGUUUGAAUUUUUUACAGAUAGUUAAGUGAAUUUUAGUAAGGAGAGGUCAGAAUUGUUAGGCACUGAAAUAAGGUAAUAUUUAGAGAAUAAACUGUACUAAUUGGAUAAACUAAAAAUUCUAAAAAUUUUAUGGUGGAAAGAUAUAUGAGUCUAGUUUUGGGGAAAAUUUACGGAAUUCAAUUUGGAGCCUUGUAACUCCAGAUAAAAAUAAAUUAGUGACCAUGACGCAGAAAAACAGUUUGCUUGAAAUUGAACAAACAAUGAAAUUUAUGUGUGAUAAAAAUUAUGUCACUAUGUAAUCUUGUGAGAAAUUUAUUUAUUUGUCAUAUGUUUACUUACUAAGCUAUAUGCUUACUCAUCUUUAUUUUUCCCCUGAUUAUAGUGACAUCAGCCAGCUCGGAAUUUGAACGAAGUUUAAAAUCAUCCACACUGUCAUCAACUUUUUGAGGUAUUUUGGCAAUCAACACUUUUGAAACAUGGCAUGUAUAGAUGACUUUAUGUAUUGUGGUAUAAAUAUGUAUAUAUAGUAAUGUUCGGUUCAAUAUGUUGGUGUUUAUUAAUGGAUAAAUUAUGUCUGAUUAUAUAAUUGUAAUUGGUUGGAAAUAUUGAAGUUAUUUGAAGUUGUCUUUGGAAAUUUACAGGGGGUUUUAUGUAAAAAUAAGCAGAAAUGCUGCCGAAAUUUUUAUAAAAAAAAUUUAUAAGUAUUUGAGUUCUAGUAAUACUUCAUACUCUGUUUUGGUAAGGAACAUGGGUAAGGGGUGUUACAGGCCGAGAUUCUGGUCACACUAUAUCCAAAUGUGGGAAGAUCAGUAUGAUUAUAUACCUACUGGAAUACAUGUCAUAGUAUAGGAUCCAUGGCAAGCCAUAUUUACUGUCGGAAGAGGAGAGGCGGCGACAAUUGCGUGUCCAAAGGGAACGACGUGGCCCUUUAAAUCCAAGAAUCCAGCGCGUAACCGUUGAUGACCUCCAUGUGGCACUGAAUUCGGUGGGCACGAACAUUGAUUUUUAUUUUAAUAUAUUUGUACAAACAUUUUAAAUAUUUUUAUUUUAUUUCAUGUAAUAAAAUAAAAGGUUGUUUUGAAUAAAGUAAUUGUAAUUUACUUUUAUAUUUUUAAUAAAAUAGAAAUUCUUUUAAAUAAGGCAAUAUUUUGAAUAUUUUUAUAUUAUUUCAUUUAAUAAAAUAUAAAUAAUACAACAUAGUUUUUUACAACAACUAUCAACUAUUGCGAUUUGGACAUGAUCUACUUGUAUAGUCUGGGUUCCUACACCAUCCGCACAAGUUUUGUUGAUUGGUUGUUUCUCGGAUAUCCAUAUUGUUACGUAUUCUAGUCGAGCAAGGUCGACCCUUUGGUUUGCGAUGCAAUUCUCUAUCCGAUAACAACUUAAAGGGAGCAAACGAUACAGACGGCCACUUACGUUCAUCUGAGACUGGUGGGAAUACGUGUCUCUAGAUGUUAUACAUGUAUUCUAAUUUGUACACUUCGUCGACAUAGCUCAUGGGAUCCAGACGGAGAUUCUGACAAAUUGCAAUUACAUGAGCGCAUGGAUAAUGAAGUGCGUCAAACAUCCCAUAGUCGCAAGUCCUAUUUUUCAAGUGUACACGAUAUUGCCCGCUAGUAAUACCUUGGUGCGGUCUGUCAAACUCCGUCAAACGAAACCAUAAGUUGUCUCGAUCGUGACACACUGUGUGCAUGGUGUUCACUCGCGCAUUCGCCUUGUUAAUUUCUUGCAAUCCCUUCCUGCACCAUACAUGGGCUCCCUGUAUUUGGCUUGCAUAACUCGCUGCUCGCUUUGGAAAUAGCACUGCUAAACGAAAAUAUAUCUCUCGCACAAUCGAUGUUAUCGGUAAAUGACCCAUUUUUUUUAGAACAUAAUUUAUGCAUUCAGCUAGGAUUGAGGUCAUAUGACCAUAUUGUAGGCCGCUGUCGUAUGCUUGUUUCCAUUGUUCGAAAGGUAUGUUACAGAGGUAGUCUGCGCCUUCGUCGUUAACUGAACGCAAAAUUGCCAACAUCUCAUGAAAACGGUUUUUACUUAUUUCAUACCCUGCCAAUAUAAAUUUAUAGCGAAUAUUACAUACCACUCUUUCAUUUAGAAUAAAUUCAAAAUGACAAAAGAUAAUUAUAUUAAUAGAGACUAAAUACCCAUGUUGGUCACUUGUCGUUAUUCACUUUUAGAUGGAUAUUGCCUAUAGUAGUUGGAAGCAACGUGCCUUAGGCAAUACCGAUGGUGUGUGCGCUGCCAUAGGCUUUCCUGUCGCUCAAUAGCAGCUAGUAUUUCGGUGCCCCGAUCUGAAAUAACACAGAUAUCAGGUUGGGGGCACACAUGUCUCCUUAACCUAGAUAGAAAAAAAUUCUAGUCAUCAGCUGACUCUCCCGGUGUUAUUGCAAACGCAAUUGGAAGAAUUCUCCUACUACCAUCCUGUUCCACUGCUAGCAAUAGUCGAUGGGUAUAUCUACCAAACAUAAAGGUACUGUCAAUUUGUACCAAUGGCUUGUACUAUAGAAUUACGUCUCGGCAUUGCUUAAAGGUCCAUAACAGACGUUUGAACACUUGGCAUCAAUAGAACAAUCAGUCGUUGUAGUACGCACGUUUCGUUUCAAGGUCUGUUAUGCAACCUGGGACGUAUCUCUCUAGCACUUGACACCACUGCCAUAUUUCAUUAUAUGAAGCGUCCCACCCACUAUGCAUCUUCUCCAACGCCUUCUGCUUAACUAUCCAAGCCUUGAGGUAAGAGGGCGUGUACCCCAUUUGGCUACGAAUAUUGGCAAUUAAGACCGACACUGAAGUCCUAGGAUCUGCCUUCAUCGUGGGUAGUAUUAAGCUAGCUAACAUAGCUGAAUCCAUCUUGGGAUGAUCUUGUGAAAUACCUGUCAACGAAGUACAUUAAAUAAUACAAUAUUACAUAAUAACAGUAUUAUUCAAAAACCCUAAAUACUAUACCUGUAGCACAUAUAUGUAGACCUUUGUACUUUUUUAUCUCCCACAAACUUGUCCUUUUCCUCAACGAGGCAUAGAUUUUCCAUGAACAUGUACCAUCUUACACUACACACUUCACCUCAAACUUAUCAGAUUUGGAUUUAACCACGUGGUAGUUAACGCCAUUAUUGAUGAUAUGUUGUUUCAAUGCACCAAGAAAACUAUACUUAUUGGAAAACUCCUAACCAACUUCAAAUUCACCCGAAUCCAAUAAUGAACUUGUACGAUCACGCAUUUUGUGUUGUAGAUCUGGAAACUCCAACGCAUCAUCUGCAGAUAGAUCGACAUUAUGCAUGUGGGCUGGAGGCGAGUAUGCCCUGAAUCGUGGAUCUUCUUCUUCAUCUAAACACCUUUCAACAUCUUCAGGUUCGGUUGGAAUAUGCUCCGGUUCAAAAAAUAAUACAACUUCUGCACUAUCAGGGCUAGGCUCUCGAGGUGGAUCUACAUCAGACUCAUCUUCUAACCCACCAUCAUCUGCAACGUACGAGGUCCCUCACCGGUGGACGUCGUAGGGAAUACAUCAUCCCUUUUUCUAGGCAUUUCAUAACAUCCCCAAUUGUUUGUAGAUUGCCAACAACUAGAAGUUGAUGCCGUUCCCUAGUACGUAUUUCCAGCAUCAAACAUCAAAAAUCGAUACCUAGUGUCGAAACCAUUUUUUUUUGUAAAAAAGGGUCUACUUUUAUCUUGAAAAUGAAAACGAAAAAAGGGGAGUCGCCACCAAUCCUUUUUAUUUAGGUGUGAUCGGAUCACCUCAUAAUUUAACCAUUUUAAUAAAAGUUUAAAUUUACUAAAACGAUAAUUUUUGGUCUACAAAAUUCAUAAGACGGGUUCGGGAGUCGAUUACGCAUGACGAAGGAUUAGCACCCUCGAUACGCCCAAAAUUGGUACCUAGUUGAUUACUUAAUGUCUUAAUGUCGAAAGUUAAAAUUUUGAAAAAGAUUUUAAAAUAUGAUUCCUUUUUUUAAUGAUGUUAAUUUUAAAAACGCUUGAAUUAAAUCGAAACGAAUGUCAAAGACCUCUCGUCUCGAGAUAAUAAAUGUCACAUCCUGUAAGUUAGGACACGACACUUGGAACCCUCGAGAAUAAGCUAGCCUUUAACUUUUAUUGGAAUUUCGUAAACUUUGAAAAUUAGAAGGAUAUUUUUCUAUUUAGGUUCAACAAGAAAAUUAAAACCCCGUAAGUUAGGGUAUAAUUUCUCAAAUCUCCAAAACACGAAAUAUUGCCUUAUUUUAAAACUUUUCCUUUUUUGAGUAAUUGCAAGUACAAUACUUGAACGAGGUGCAUUUGUUUUAUUUGUGACAAAAUAGAACGGUUUAUUAUGGUAUUUACAAAUCGAACGAAACUUUUUAAAUGAUGCAAUGAAAUGGAACGAUAACAUAGAACAUAAAAUAACAAUUUGUGAAUAAAAUGUUACGCUAAUGAGUGGCAAUAAUAUGAGAAUAAAUAAACAAGUUAUGGUACACAUAAUGAUAAUAACCACACAACAUGCAUCAUUUUAAAAAUACCAAUAUUAAUAAUCAAAGUAAACGAAGCAAAAUAAUAUAGAAAACAAUUUCACGUAAAUAAUAGUCUAAAUAAAUAAUUUACGAGAACAAUAAAUGAUAAAAGAUUUCUAAUAAAUGAUAUAUAAAAACUUAGAAUGAAUAAUAAUACAAUAGUUUAAAGUAAAUAAUCAAGAAAAGAAAAAAAAUAUAAAACAAUUUUCCUUAAAACAAAUAAAUAAUAGUUUAAAAUAAAUAAUAUAAUAAAAACAUAUAUAAUAGUUUAAAAUAAAUAAUAUAAUAAAAACUUUUAAACAAAUAUUAAGUAAAACAGUUUAGAAUAAAUGAUAAAUAAAACCUUAAAACAAAUAAUAGUAAAAGAGUUUUUUUAAAUAAAAUAAACAAAUAAAUUAAAUAUACUAAGGAUGAUACUGAAAUCGAUCCAGAAUUUGGGGUUCAAAUUGAAAAUAAAUAAAAAAAAUGGGCUACUAGGGACUGAAAUAGAGCGCGCUUAAGGAAUGAAAGAUCGACCGGGCAAUAUUUCCAGCCCUCAUGCGCAGUAUUUCAGCGCGGACUAAAAUCAAACAAACUGAAAAUUAUGCAGCUAAAAUAAAAGGAACAAAUGGGGUCAAAUUGCACCACGUCAAACAAAUAGAGGGACCUAUUGCGCAAAUAGCCCCUUUACUGCAGAAACACACAGAUCCUGAGGGAAAACAGGUCGGUUUUCGGGUCUGAAGCCUAAACGACGUCGUUUUGGCCUCUAAGCUCACUCCUCAAAACGACGCCGUUUCAUGUUGCUAUAAAGGCCAAAUAUUUUUAAAAAUCCUUCUUUUUUCCCUUCUCUCUAAAAAAACAAAAUAGAAUUCUCUCAAGCCCCUUUUCCCUUCCCAAAAUCUAGCCAGGGGUCUGGCCAUCGGCCACCGUGCCGGCCGCCGAUCGCCGACAAUGGCACCACCAUCCGCGGUGGCCAAAAAAAGCCAAAGCCGCCCCUUUCGCUCCUCUUUUCGAGUAGAGCCCGGAUUUAGAGUUAAAAUAACCCAAAAGACCCUUAAAGUUCGAAAAAAAGAAGAGAAAAGGAAAAAAAAAAGGGACUUUUCAGUUUCCCAUUACUGCCGGUGGGGAUUCGGCGAGCCCACUGGCUCAAUCACCCUCAACACCGGGGAAACCUCCGACUACGGCCACAAAGGUAACAAAUCUCGCUCCUUUAUUUAUUUUAUAUUUUAUAUUAUUUAUUAUUUCGAAUAAAAAUAAAUAUAUAUAAAAAGACCUUGAUUUUCUCUGUUUCAAACUCCUUUUUGUAUUCAGAAUUAGUGUGUAACCGAAAAAAUUACAAAGAUGAUGCUCGGGCUUUUAUAGCCGAAAUUCAUGAUUCGUUUUUGUUCUUUUUCUUUUGUUUGCUUCCAUUUCUUUUUUUUUUUCGUUGUCCUCUUUUGCUUGCAUGUUGCAGGUGGUGGCAGAGGGCGUCAGACGCGUGAGGGAGCCUGGUGCGCAUGUGGCGGUGGCAGCGUGCUGACGUGGGAGGAGCGGUGGCACUAGGGGGCUAGGGUUUCUUUUUUUUUUCCUGAAAGUGUGUUUAGGCUAUUGGGCUUAUCGGGCCAUUAGGGUUUUUUUUAUUUGGGCUUGAUGUUUUAAAAUUGGACUUGUAAUGGACUGUAAUUUUGGACUCUUAUUUUAUUUAUUUGGUUUGGUAUUGGGCCCGGGUAAAAUUGGGCUAUUACACCUAAUAGACAAAACUUUCAUUGGCGUCGUUCUGAAUAUUUUACGCCUAAUUAUUUUACGAAGUUCUGUCAAAUCUAUGUUCUGGUUAAAACCAGUCGCACUGUAAUAUCUGGUAAAAAAAACAACACCGUUCUCGGUGUGACGAACCUCACCAUCAUAGUAAAUAACAGCACUAAUACGUUCACUCAUCUUCAAUUUCCAUCCUUCUUAGCCUCUCUAUUUUUUUUUUGCUGUAACCUAUGCAACCUGAGAAAAAAAUUUGGCUCAUUUAUAGCCUCAGGCCAAAUAGAAACUACUGUAGCAAAAGAGCGUCCAUGUGGGAGCUUCUUUCAGUACUUUUGCUGCCAUUGCAUCCUGCUUGAAGCAUUUUUGACACUAUUUGCUCAGAAACAUCUUCUCAAAAUUAUUUUUUCAGAAAUUACUGUAGCAAAAGAGCGUCCACGUGGGAGCUUCUUUCAGUACUUUUGUUGACAAUGCAUCCUACUUAAAGCGUUUUUGACACUAUUUGCUCAGAAACGUCUUCUUAAAAUUAUUUUUUAGGAACUACUGUAGCAAAAGAGCGUCCAUGUGGAAGCUUUUUUAAAUUAACAAAUAAUUUAAUUAAGUAACCCUAAACCCCAAAUCCUAAUUUAUUUUAUUUUUCCUUAAAAACUCUAAACACUAAACCCUAAUCUAAUUUUUUAAAAUUUUAUAAUUAAUUUACUCAAGUAACCCUAAACCCUAAUUUAUUUAAUUUUUUCUUAAAAACCCUAAACACUAAACCCUAAUUUGAUUUCUUUAAAAUUUAUAAUUAAUUUACUCAAGUAACCCUAAACCCUAAUUUAUUUGAUUUUUUUCCUUAAAAAUCAUAAACUAAUUUUCUAAAAUUUAUAAUUAUUUUAAUUAAAAACCCCUAAACCCUUAUUUAUUUAAUUUUUUUCCUUAAAACCGUAAAAUCUAAAAACCCCAAAAUCUUAAAACCCUAACUCUAAUUGUAGAAAACCCUAAGCCUAAAAAAUGGAGAAAACGCUUCCUCAAGGAAGCGCUUUGUGCACGUGGACACAAAGCGCACCCUCAAGGACGCGUUUUCUAUCCAUGUGGACAAAGUGUUUCCUUCAGGAAGCAUUUUCCUGCUUUAUCCCCUGACAAAACGCUGACGUGGACUCAUUUUGGAGAAAAUUGGCCCAUUCCGGUAAUUAAUUUAGGAGCUGACCCAUUUCGAUAAUUUUGAAAAUAAAGGGGCUUUUAUUGAUAAUUUUUCGGUACAAUUGUCACCCAAAAAUAUAUUAUUUUCAACAAAACUAAAGACUUUAUUUAAGAAAUAUAUUAUUUUAAAAUUGUUAGUUAAAAAACUUAAUUGAUCCAUUCUCUAAGAAAGGGUUUAAUUUCUUUUUGGAGGGGAGGAUUUAUUAAUAAGAAAGGGUUUUUUUUUAUUACAAAUUCACCCGUUCCCAAAGACUAUUUUUAAUAUAAAAAAUAAAAUGUGAAUUCAAUGAAGUCAUGUCAAGAUUUUAGAGUAAGUUUAAGUAGGCGGUGUAUUUACUUAUAUUAAGUAUAAAAUUAAAAUGACAAUAAAAUAAAAUUAGAUAUACGAUAAUAAAAGAUAAAAAGUAAACUAAACACAUCGCAUUGGACUGUUCACCCAUCCAAACGCACGCUAUAUUGGUAUCAUAGUGAAAUCUGUGUCAGGUUAACAGCCGCAUAACAGCCAUAGCUAGGUUUGGUGAUGUAAAGAAAGGAGAAUGAAUAGAAAGAGAAUAUCUGACUGUAGUAAAUGAGUCAUAGUUAGGUUUGGUGAUGUAAGGAGACGAAUAAACGAGUUAAAGAGCAAAUUGGAACACUGUUGCUGGACGAAUCCAAAUGUUCUGUGACUAUUAGAGCUUAGCUUUCCAAUUUUCUCUUUAACUUGUUUACUCAUCUCCUUACAUCACCAAACGUAACUAUGGCUCAUUUACGAAAGUCAGAUAUUCUCCUUGUACUCCUCCUUUCUUUACAUGUUAUUAUUAUAGCUCAAGAAAACGAGUCGAGCAUCAUCCAACCAGCUUCUUCACUUUAUGCCGGAAAACACCCUAGUUCAUGGCCCUCAUCUUCAGGGUAUUUCCGAUUUGGUUUCUAUCCGCAAGGCAAUGGAUAUUCGGUCGGAAUCUGGCUUGUUGGCCGGUCAGAAAACACCACUGUCUGGACCGCAAAUCGAGAUGAUCCGCCUGUCUCCUCAAAUGCUACUUUGGAAUUCACAACACAAGGCAGGUUGCUUCUUCGGACUGAGGACGGCAUGGAAAAAAUCAUUGCGAAUCUGACCAUGUCAGUAUCUGUUGAUGCAGCUUCUAUGUCGGACACCGGGAAUUUCAUGCUCUACCAGAACAGGACUGUUGUUUGGGAGAGCUUUAAUUUUCCAACGGACACAAUAUUAGGAGGCCAGAAUUUAAGCGGUUCUCAUAACAUGUUGAUUUCCAAUGUGUCAAGGUCAAACCAUUCAUCUGGGCCAUAUUUGUUGAGAAUGCAGGAUGAUGGUAACCUUGUAGCCUAUGCAAAUAAUCCUGCUGAACUUGAUCCUAGUGAUGCAUACUGGGCCACUAUGACUAAUGGUUGGUAUUUUUCUGUGUUGAAUCUCAAUGAAAGAGGCGUUCUAGCAAUGUAUUCAUCACCAAAAUUCCACCAAGAAAAAGUUUUGGCAAACCUCUCCGCAACUGGGAACGAAACAAUGAUUAUCUACAGAGCAACCCUUGAUCCUGAUGGAAAUUUCAGAUUGUACUCGCAUCAACUCGAACGCAAUACUAUCUCACACAAGUGGCAGAUUCUGAAUGAUGAAUGUGAUGCUAAAGGUCAAUGUGGGUUGAACAGCUACUGCUCCAGCAGGGGUAAGGAUACUGAGUGCUACUGCUAUCCUGGUUUCACAUUUAUCGACGAGAAUACCAAAUCCCUGGGCUGCUCUCAGAAUUUCACUAUAGAUGAGUGCGUGGCAAGGAAAGAUCUAGUGAUACAUUACAACAUCACUACCUUAGACAAUAUUGAUUGGGCUGGUGAUCCUUAUUCUGUCAAGCAAAACUUGGAAAAGGAAGACUGUAAGAAAUCUUGCCAGGAGGAUUGCUCCUGUGGCGGAGUUCUCUAUUCUAACCGAAAAUGCUGCAGCAUGUAUAUGCUACCGCUCAAAUAUGGUAAAAGACAUGGAAAUAUAACAACCACAGCCUUCAUCAAGUUGAUUCUGGGUAGCACCAUUAGCCACCCACCCGAAACAAGUCAAAUAUUGAUAAGCGAAGGAAACCAAAGCCUCAUUUUAACCAUGGGCUUAAGUUUGGGUUCCGUUGCAAGCUUGUGUUUUGUGAUUGCAAUAGGUAGCUUCUUGUUAUACAAGCACCGAGUCCAAAAUUAUGAGA
rnacentral:lncRNA from 1 species